UUUUUUGAAGCAAAGACUGGGGUUUUAUUAAUAAAUAAACUGAAAACAGACAGCCCAAAAAGUGGCCCAAACAAAGAAACCAGAAAACAACAAUAAAAACUUCUAAAAAACUAUCAAGACUUCUGUCUUACAAAAGAAACAUAAAAUCAAUAAAAGAAAAUAAAGCAAAUUAAAAAACCUAACCCAGUCAAAUCAAUGAGCAGCUGGCAACCAAUAACGUCUGACGAUUUGUUAUUUCCAAAGCUCCUAACGUUUAAUUAAUAGCAGUCCCCUAGGCAUUCAAUCUUCACUCUGCUGUCUAUUUCGGUCACAUUUCCUCUGAAGCAGUUCCUCAAUCUGGAUUUCUUGACCGAUAUCCUACCGAAGCCAGAUUCUGACUAUCUAGUUCCUCACCCCUCAGGUAAAUCGUCUCUCCUUUCUCGAAUGCGAUCUUUGCUAUUCUGUGAGCAUCUAAGUUUUCUGACCUGUUAAUAUACUGGAAAAUAAGAUCUUGAAAGUCAGAUUUCUUCUGUUGAAUAUCUCUGAUGAUGGCUCCAAUAACUGAUUUGUCUGUGGAAGUCUCUUGACAUUUCUUUAUUACAGUUUUUGAAUCCCCCAUAAGUUUCACUGAAUGGAUUCGUAAUGAAAUCCCUAACUUUACUCCUUCUAAACAUGCAUGAGCCUCUGCUGCGAAAGGAGAAGAAACAUUUCUGUGAAUAACUAUUUUUAACGCUAUUAAGACUCCCCUCGAGUCCCAACCUACAAGGCCGGACGCUGAACUGGAGGUAUUACUGUCGUACGCUGCAUCAAAAUGGAUCCUGGCUGUCGGUGUAAGCUCUUGUACUCUAUAGCUUCUGCAUGUGACCUCAUUAGUUUUUAAGACUUUUAAUCCUCUCUGUUCUAACUCAUAUCUUUGUAUGUUAAGUACUAAGGCCCUUCCUGGAAUGAUAUUUCUCUCAUGAAUAAGUUGAUUUCUAGAAAACCAUAUCCACCAUAGCGCAUAGCAAAAGGAAAAGCAUUGGUCAUUGUUUCCCCUCUUGAAAACCCAGGUUAACCACUCCCACAUAGUAUGGCUCCUAUUGUUCAUAACCCAUGCGAAAUUUAACAAAUGCCAAACUUCUGCUGUUAUAGGGCAAUCUCGAAAGAUGUGGAGGCUGUCUUCGACCUCAGAGCUGCACCGGGGACAUCUGUCGUUUGAAACCACUCUCCUUAUACUGAGAUUAACAAAGUUUGGAAUAAAGUCCCAAGAGAUCCGCCAGAUUGUAAACGCAAUUUUAGAUGGUAGCUGAAGGCUCCAUAGUUUUUUUAUAAAAAUCCUUUGUUUCGGUUUGUAAUAAAUAGUCACUAGGAUCCAUAUUUGCAUUUUGUAAUAGUUUAUAGGCACUACGAACAGAGAACUCACCAGAUAAUUCCCCUUUCCAAGCCUGAAAAUCAUCAUGCGCAAUCUCUGCAAGAGGAAUUUCAAGGAUUUUCCGAACUAUGUCCUCAGGAAAGGUAUUCUGAAUCAACUCCAAGUUCCAUUUUCUGUUUGAAUGAUCAAGAUGAUCCGCAACUAACUUAAUUUCCCUCCUGGUUGUUCUGUUGUUUACGUCGAUUUUGUCAACCCCCUGAAUCCAACAAUCGUCCCAAACAGAGAUGCUAUCUCCUCUGCCCACUCUCCAGCACAUCCCUUUUUGGAGUAGACCUUUAGCAGCCCAAAUGCUCUUCCAGGUAAAAGAAGGUAAAUUUCCCAGCUUCGCUGUUAAGAAACUAGAAUCCAGAUAAUACUUUGCUUUUAAAGUUCUGGCUAAAAGCGAAUUUGGAAAAUUAAUGAGACGCCAACCUUGUUUCGCUAAUAAUGCAAUAUUGAACUGACCGAAAUUGCGAAACCCAAUUCCACCAUUUUCUUUCAAAAAACAAAGAUUCUUCCAAGUGCACCAAUGGAUUCCUCUUUUUCAAUUCCCUUUCUGCCACCAGAAUUUGGCAACAAUAUGUUCCAGUUCAUCACAAAGUGUUCUAGGAAAUAAGAAGCAUGCCAUCGAAUAGGUAGGGGUAGCCUGUAAAAUGACUUUAAUAAAAACUUCUUUACCUCAUUGUGAAAGAAAUCUAAUACUCCAAUUAUCAAUGCAUUUUUUAAACCUAUCCUUCAGAUUUUGGAAAGCUUCCCUCUUUCUUCGACCCACCAUAUUUGGCAAUCCCAGAUAUCUCUCUGGUUCAUUCGACCUUCAAACCCCCAGCGAGUUAACAACUUGUCUUCUAUCCUCUUCGGAAGUAUUUUUGCUAAAGAAAACAGAUGAUUUUUUCAAAAUUUACACACUGUCCCGAUUGAGAUUUAUAUUCAUCCAAAAUGCCCUUGAAGAUACUUGCACCUCUGCUUGUUGCUUCACCAAACAAAACACAAUCAUCAGCGAAUAAAAGAGGAAAAAUUUGUGGCCCACUUCUACUAACCUUUACGCCAUUUAACGUGCCUCUUUUUACUGCCUGUCUCAAUAAGCUCGAUAAACCUUCGCCACAAAAGAGAAAUAAAAAUGGACUAAGUGGGUCGCCUUGUCUCAAUCCUCUAUUAGGUGAAAAUGUGUCCCCUUUAUGUCCAUUAAUAACAACUGAGUAGGAAAUGGUAGAGACACAAUUCAUAAUGGCCUUCACCCAUUCCGAAUCAAAUCCCAUCAUUAUCAUAAUUUCUUCAAUAAAACUCCACUCCACCCUAUCAUAAGCCUCAGUCAUAUCAAGUUUAACGGCCAUAAACCCUUUUUUCCCCAGCCUCUUCUGUUUUAACUUAUUCAUUACUUUGUAUUCUAGUAUCACAUUAUCAGAGAUUAAUCGACCAGGAACAAAAGCGCUCUGGGUUUCAUCAAUACAAUUCCCGAUCACCUUUCUAAGCCUGCUAGCUAUCACCUUAGCAAUAAUUUUGUAAUUAACAUUACAGAGACUAAUCGACCUGAAUUGCGUCAUUAUUAGAGGAUUAUUAACUUUGGGUAUGAGAACAAUGUUUGUGGAAUUUAUUGAACUAACCUCCAUGCCUCCAUUCAAAAUUCGAGAGCAGUAAGCAAUGACUUCUUCUCCCAUGAUCUGCCAACACUUCUGGUAAAAAACUGUUGGAAGACCAUCUUCCCCUGGUGCCUUCGUUGGCCCCAUAUCAAAAACCGCUGUCGUGAUUUCCUCCCUAGUAUAUAGAGCUAUAAGGAUCUGGUUGUCCUCCUCUUAAAUGCAUAUCUCAAUACCUGCUAAAAUCUGAUUAUUGUUCCUUCUUCGUUCAGUCGUGAACAGUUUCUGGAAGUAAAAUCUCGCAUUUUCUUUAAUUUCCUGUAAAAUCUUCAGCUCUCUUCCUUCUUCGUUCAUCAAUCUGUUAAUAGAAUUUUUCCUCUUCCUUUGUGUAGCUUGACUAUGAAAGAAUUUUGUGUUUUUGUCUCUAAAUGUCAACCAAUUAAUUCUAGCUCUUUGUUCCCAAUAGCAUUCGUCUUUUUCAAUCUCAAAAUUCAAGUUUAGUCUAGUGUCAAUUAGCUCAGCUAAAGUAUUUUCAUCCCGUUCGGCUCCUGCAAGUUCCUCAAGUUUUUUGUGAAGCUCCUGUUUAGAUUUCUUCCUACUCAUUUUCACCUCUCCUGCCCACUCUUUUAAUCCUGUUUUCAAAAUCUCCAAUCUCUGCAGCAAGUCACCUGUUGAACUCUCCCAUAUGCCUUUAACCACCUCAAUAAAAGAUUCCUCCAAUAACCACCAGGCUUCAAAUUUAAAAUUGUUAUUCCAUACCUUUACUCCUUUUUCUGUAGUAUCAAUGAGAAGAGGACAGUGAUCUGAAAACGAAUGGGAAAGAUGUUGAACCUUCACCUCUGGAAACAUCGUAACCCAACCCAUGUUGGCAACUCCUCUAUCAAGGCGUUCUCGUAUAUUUGUCUCAGGUAAAUUACCUCUUUCCCAAGUAAACCAACUACCCUCGAAGCCCACAUCGUUCAAUUGACAAUCAACAAGUGUUUUCCGAAAACACUCCAUUCUUCUCUAGUCUCUGGGAAUUCCUCAUUUCUUUUCGAAACCAUACAUGAUUUCAUUAAAGUCUCCACAAACUAACCAUGGAAUUUCCACUCCAGUGGUCAAUCUUUUCAAAGUAUCCCAUGAAACGUUCCUCUCCUGGACAUAUGUGGAACCAUAGAAUCCUGUGAAUCUCCAUUGUGGCCAAUCUUUUCAAAGUAUCCCAUGAAAUGUUCCUGUCCUGGACAUAUGGGGAACCAUAGAAUCCUGUGAAUCUCCAUUUCACACCUUGCUCAUUAUCUUCGACUAACACGUCAAUAUGCCUUUUAGAAAAACUACGAAGACUAACAUCAAUAUUUGCUCUCCAUGCCAAACAUAACCCUCCCCUUGUACCUUCAGAAUCAACUUCAAUGCCAUUAUGAAACCCACAUCUCAUGUGAACUACUUCAAUCUAUUUUCUGUUAAGUUUUGUCUCCAUGAAGAAGAUAAUUUGGGGAUUUUUUAACUUUAGUACAUAUCGAAGUCUUCGAACUGCGUCAAGCAUCGGACGUUCCAGCAUAAUAUUUUCAUUGCGACAGGUCGGCUCUUGGUAGCCGCCGAUGAUAAAAGUAUCUGUCCUUCCAUCUCACCUCUAUUUUGCUUCUUCCCCUCUUCCCCCAUUAAAACUUCAUCCUCUAGAUCAUGAUCCAUUAAUUUGUGAAUCUUAUAUGAUCAUGGUUUCUCCAAAACUGUUCCUUUCCCUUCUAAACUAAAACCCUGUAUUGGAUCACUGGUUUUCAUCUCACUACCUCUUGGAAUCCCAUUCCUUGAACCCAUCUCCCCUAAUCUGUUCUCCAUCCAACAGCCUUCCCUAACCCCCUUAUCCUCUUCACGCAGCCAAAUACUAUUCGUUGACAAGGCUCUAUGUGAUGGAGCCCACAGGGAUAAAUCCCAACUCAACUCUAUGGGAUCUGAUCCAACCAUCAUUUUUGUCUCAAUAAGAAUCAUUAUGACCCAACCGACCACAGAAAAAAUAAAACAGUGAUAAACGUUCAUACUUGAAUUUGACGUACGAACAAACACCAUUAGACGUAACCUGCUUCUUUCUCCUUAAUGGCUUCCUGACAUCAAUCUGCACCCUGACUCUCAUAAAAUUACUUUUUUCCUUGCCCAGAUUUGAUGCAUCAUACUCUAAAAAUACUCCAAUAAAAUUCCCCAGUAACGUUGCUAAACUUUUAGAGAAUCAACCCAUUGGAACAUCAUGGAUUUGUACCCAGAAUGGAACAUAUAUUAACGGUAUUUUUAACGGAUCUUCACCUCUGUUCAGAUUGCUCAGAAUUAAUAGAUGAUUGUUAAACGUCCAAGGAAGGCCCUUUAGAACUCUCUCCAAAUCCAUACUAUGGAAGAACUUAAAAAUGUACCUUUUUUCUCCCAAAUCACGAAUCUGUACCCCACAAAUGGGGUGCCAUAAAUUUGCUAGGGUACUUUUCAUAGCCGAAAAAUUUAUGAUACUUGCUGGUAAGAAACAUCCCACAAGCUGAUAAUCGCCCACGUCUGUAUGCGGUUGUAGAUCAUCCUGAAUCUGCAAGAUCUCUUAUUCUUCUUCAUUAAUUGAUAAUUGGGCUAAUUCAGUCUCCAUGGUUGCAGGAAUUAAAGGAACGCUUCCGCCAACCAAUUAAAGAGAGAUCAAUCGCGGAAAUCGUAGGGAAUAAAAUAAAAGAGAUCAAGACCCCUCAAAAUCCAAAAAAACAUAAACUUUAAACCUAAGAACCCAUGCCAGAGACGGCAGACAGAACCCGUGCCAGAGACGGCAGACUUUUUUUGAAAUAUUUAUUAUAUGCCCAGAGCAGAGAACCAGGAAGCUGAUAGACUUGCCAAGAUGGCUCACUCAGGAAGUCAAGGUUUGCGAAUGUUUAGAAGACCCCCAUUUGGAGAGUUAGGCCAAUUGGCAUAGUUUAUUUCUAGUAAUUUUCUAUUUUUCACCAAAAAAAAUAAUAUAUUGUAAUUAAAAUCUAAGAUCAAGACUUUAUGAAGACUCCUUAAAGGAAGAUUAGACCACUAAACAAUUGAAGAAGAGUCCUUCUUGUUUUCCAACUAUUUUCUCUACAAUUCCUCACAAUAUUUUGAACCUUUGUACUAAAAGUGUGGUAAAAGUAUCAUGAAAAUCAUGUAUUAGGAGUUAGAUUGCAUCUUAUCCCCUUUAUUUAAAAAAUUAGAUAAAUUAAUACUUACACAUUAGAUUAAAGAAUAAAUUAGUCUUUUCUGUUAAAAAUUUUAUCUAUUUGUACUAUAAAAAAUUGACGUAACUGAUGAAAUAAUUAAACAAUAACAUGUAACUUACCAUGUGUACCUCAUUAUAGCUUCUGAUUCAGUAACCUUCACCUUACUUUUACCCUUUCUUCUCUUGUCAUCUUGGUAUAGGGUUGGACUUGAAUCCAAUACUAGAGGUUUUUAAAGAGAUUUAUUCACAUUAUUAAUGAGCUGUGAUUUCAUCCAAGAGGUUGUUUGGUGAAAAUAGGUAUAAGUAUAGGUUUGAUUAGUAAAUCAAAGGGUUUUCUUUUUCCUAAUAAAAAUAUAUAUAUUCUUAGAUCAUUCAGAUGCAUACUUUUAUUAUAUUUAAUUAACUUUUCACCCUUGCUCACUCUCAAAUAAUGAAAAAUAUGAAUAGUUAACAUCAAUCUUCGUGUACAUGUGAAGAAAACAAAAAUAAUUUGAUUCUCCACCUAACAUUUUGUUCUUUUCGUUGUUUUGAUUUAAUUUUUAAUUUUUUAAAUAAAAUAAUAUUUUAUUUUUGACACAAUAUUUAGAACUAUUCAUAGCCUCUCCUUAAUCCAUAAAUAAGAGGAUAAUGUGCUUGAGCGUACUCAAACUCACGUCCUCCUGUAUUGACGAUAAUAUCCAUAUCAAUCGAGCUAAGACUCAAUUGGCAGAAAUAUAAUAAUUUUUAUCUUAAAAUUUAAUUUUAAUUCAUCAUACAUCAAAUUACACAUGUUGUUCAAAUUAAUUUAUAAUUUACAUAUACUACAUGUUGACAUUUCACUAUUUGUCUUAUAUGUCACCACGUCAACAAAUAAUUUAAAAAUUAUAAAAAUAUUCAAAAUUUUAAGAAUUCAAACUUAAAAAAAAAGUUCAUAAAAAAUUAAAAAAAUUAGCAUGAAGUACAUGCAAAUUGUCUUAGAAGUUGUCAUGUUUAAAAAUUUAAUGUUUUAAUCAAUAUUUUCAUUAAAAAUAUAAUAAUUUAAUUUUUUUAUUUUUUAAAUUUAACUCUUUUAAAAGAUUAAGGUCAAAUUUAACUUAAAACUAUAUUUAUUAUUAGACCUUAAUUAAUUAAAUAAAUUUACCCAAGUACAUAUUCUAGAUAUUUAGAUAUUUUAUUGCCCCAUCAAAAUAUUUUGUUGCCCUAAUUCAUAAAGUAAAGCUUUUAUAUUUUUAUUUAUUUGUUGAUCUUCGAUAAAAAAAAAUUAUAUAUUUAUUGACUAGAGAUAAUGAUAGGGUUGUCCACAAUUUUAAGGGUAAAUUACUUUGUUAUUUAUUCAAUUAUUAGUAUUUUUUUGUCACUCAAUUAUUGGAUUUUAUCUUUUUUAUUAAAAUUGGCAUAAUAACAACUUUAACCGUCAACAUUUAUAUACAUUAUGCCAAUUUAGUCUUGAUUUUAAAAAAUUAAUCCUUAAUAUUUGCACAUCUUGUAAUUUGAUAUAUAUUUUUAGUUUUCAUUUUCUUUGUGGCCCUUUCACCUAAAAAGCUAAAAAAACAAAAAUAUCAUAUAAAUUUGAUCGAAAGUAUACAAAAAAUAAAAACACCUCAAAAUCUAAUGUAAUAAUUUUCAUCUUUUCUCAUUCUUUUAAAAUCAACCAUCAUUGCCAAAAAAAAGCAAGACUGUAAAAAAAAAAUACAGAGUGUGUAAUUUUUUUAGAAUCAAGAUUAAAUGUACAAAUGUUAAUUAUUAAAGUUACCAUUAUGCCAAAUUUAAAAACUAUUAAGUUAUUUUUCCGUUAGUAAUUUAAUGGCUGAUGACCAAAAAUUACAAAUUAAUUUACUAAAUUUUAAAAUUAGUAUCACUAUAUUUAAGCUUAAUUGUGUUUUCUUUGGUUUGUAAAUAAAAAAUAAAAAUCAAUCCAACAACUACCAUUUUAAAAUUUAUUUCAUAAUAUUAGACAUUGAAAAUUUAAAGGUACAUUAAGGAUUCCUAAUUUUAUAGAAAAAAAGAAGAAAAGUUGUGGGAUAAAAUGAGUAGCAUCCCUGAACAAGGUAGAUGAAAAGGUGUAAUAUGGAGUAUGCUAUUUGCUAUUUAUUAAAAUUUGUCCAAAGACUUUGUAUUAGUGGUUUAGAUGAUGAGAAUAAUUAAAUUGCCUGUUGCCAACUGGGUGGACUAUUAAUAAUCAUUGUCCUUCCUCCAUUUUAAUUCAAAAGUUAUUAUAUUAUAGACCAUAGGCUUAUUAGAUCCCAACUUGAUGCUUAAAAUAUAUUGUUUUAUGUGCUUCAAUCUCAUGAAUAAUUAAACAACAAAAUUUGUCUUUUAAUUGUUCAUAAGAUUCCUCCUCAUCCUAUAAAUCUAAACCCCAUUUACUAUCAAUUAAUUAAAUGCAUAAAGAAAAAGGCAAUCAUCACUUGCUUGAAUUUUACAACAUUAAAAACUAUUUCACAAAUAAGGAAAAAAAAUCAUAGCAACAAGAAUUCUUUAUUUUUGAAUAAAUUGAAUAAAAUGGUAAACCUCACCUAUUAUAUUUAUUUUUUAAUAAUUUCAUUACAGAUUUUGAUGAUAUCUGCUCUUUUUGACACAAUGUUUAGAACUAUUCAUAACUCCUCCCCAACAUAUAAAUAAGAGGAUAAUAAGCUUCAGCAUACUCAAAUCCACAUCCUCCUGCAUUGACAACAGUGCUCAUACCAAUUAAGCUAAGACUCAAUCGACAACCUACUAUUUUAUUUUAUAUAUAUUUAUAUGUGUAUAUAUAUAUAUGGAUAAUUGAAAUUUUUAUUUAUCUAGAAAGUAGUAAACUACUACAGUCCAACAAAAGAAACAUUAAGAAACAAUCCUAUACAGUAAGCACAAUUAUACAUCUCUAUAGUAAGAACAAUUAUACAAACUACAUUCCAGUUGUCACACUUGGAUUUGUAAGGUCUUAGGUAGCAAAAGAAUUUGGUGUACUAAAUUGAAAAGUUGUCUAAUCUGGCAGCUUCUUUUUGUAAAUAAGAACAAGUAGCGGACUGGUUAAGGAAAAGUUGGGUUUCAACCAUAGUCCUGUUAGUAUUGAACUAAGUAUAUUUUAGUGGGAGAUAUGAUGAUUAAGGUAUUUCCAGGUGGUUGUGAAUUGGUUUUGGUGAUAGGGGUUGUAAGGACUAUAUAUAUAGGAGAAGCAUUCUUCUCUGAGGAUAAUUCUUUAGUUUUUUUGUUCUUCUUCUUUUCUCUCUGGUUUGCAUAGAAUAGAGAAAGAUAGAGGAAUGUUCAUGCAUGAAAAGGAGAAACUAAGGAUUUAGUCUUAGAAAUUGGAAAUCUUGCAUGUUGGUAAGUUUUCUAAUCUCUCUAAAUUAGCAGAUUUGAAGAAAAAGAAGGUAGUUAAGAAUUUUAGUAAAUUAUUGCUUCUGUUCUAUUUGGGGUAAAAUGGUGGAUAAUCAUUCAAAAGGCCUUUGCAUGCAAAAAAAUUGUGGGGUUUAUGAUGAUGAAUGGUCUCAAUUGGAUUCUAAAAUGGUUGUUGUGUUAUAUUGACUAAUGAGGCUAGUGUAACACGAGAAAAAGGCUUUGAAGAUGGUUUUGGCGACAAUUUCCAGGUGAGUUCUCAGACUCAGAUCUUAAAUGGAUAUAUUUUGUGUCAUUCAUAUACUAAAUAUGAUGAACUAGUACUUUACCAUUGCUAAAUCAACUUGUGGUGAAGUAUUGAUGUCUUGUGUGUGUGCAUGUAGUGUUGACAUGCAAAUAUUACUGGUUAUGAGUUUGAUCAUUUUGAAUAGAGGAAAUGUCGGCCUGGUAUAUGUUACGUAAUGAGAUGAAAUUGUAUAACUGUGAGUUAUUUAUUUUAAGUAAAUGAAAGGCUUAGCGUGAUGCAUUGUUGCGUAUUGAUUGAUAUGAAUGAUUGGUAGUAAAUAUGAUCAUGUUGCAUAAUGGUAUGAAUGUCGUAUUAUAUGUCAUGUGAUAGACAGUAUCUGUUGGCAAAAUGUUAAAUAUGUUAUGCAUUAUAUUUAUGUGGCUUUGAGAAGGUUCGGAUGGUCAUACACGAGAUUGUAUAUGCAUUAUAUUUAUGUGGCUUUGAGGGAGGUUCGAUUAGACUGAGCCAGGAAAGGAGAUUAAAUGAUACAAAGACUUGGUGCACACCCGUAUAUGAGAUUCCCUUUGUGUGGGACGUACAAUAGCCCUUUAUGGGAUGUUUGAAAUCCCCUUGGGGGAUGUAGAAGGGCCAUGAGUGGAUGAUGGUCUAUGUAUGUGUGACUCGUAUGCUUUGAUGUAAGUAAAAGCCUGAGUUUGAAUUGAUAAGAAACCGAAAGUUGGUGAGUUGGGUAUACGACUUCUACAAUAUGUAACAUCAUUCAUAACAGUGGAAUUCAUAACCUAAGAGACGGGUAAAUGAUAUCCUCUAAUUGGCAUUACAUGAUAAAUGAAAAGUAAAUGUGGCCACUGGUCGUUUGUCUUUGUGAUGAAUGACUUAAUUACUAUUUGAUAGUAGUUGACUAUUCAUGAAGGAAAAUGUAAUGGUUACCAUGAGAUAAAAUAGGAUCAUAUUGGGAGAGUGAAUUCAUCCCAAAAAGAUUAAGGAUAUCCUAUAAGGGUAACACACUUAUGACAAGAUCACUGGACAAGCAUUGAUCGAGUAAAUUUUGUAAUGACAUGUCAUUAGGGGGAGCUCAGUCACGAUACUAUAGUGGAAUGACUUCAUGACUAAAUGAAUUUAUAAUUAAUAGGCGUAAAGCUGAAACUUAAUUAUAAAUCAUUUGAACCCUAAUUAUAUAUUUCCAAUCGAUCCAUCCAUUAGCUCGUUGAAACCAGAAACGAAUUGCAGGUUGAGUCAAAUGAAUAGAAAUGAUAAAGUUAGAUAAAUGAGUUAUAUUCAGAAAGGAAUGUGGUUUCUCACUAACAUGGAAAUGACCUAAGAAUUAAUUUAUAGUUUUUCGAAUUAUUAUUUAUUUAAUUAAAUAAUCAAAGUUCAAAAAUGAAAUUAAAUUAAUUGAUCAUUGUGAAUCUGUUGAAAGUAGAAAAUUAAAUAUAUUUUCUCAUAUAUUUUUUACAGUAAAGUUAUCAUGAUUUUAACGGAAUAAGAAUCAGGUUGAGAAAAUUAUUUAAUUAGGAAAUUAACUAAUUUGUUUAAAUUAAUUUAUGAUGUUUAUUUUGGAAUAUAGAAAACAUGUAUUGAGUUGGAUUGAAUUAUAAAGUGCUGUGUUAAAAGUCCAGAAGACACUUAUAAUUGAACUCGAUAUAGGAGAGACCCAAAAGCCCUUCACAUUAAAUACAAGGGAUGACAAACCUUAGUGUGUUUAACUAGGGUUUCCGCCUUUCUCUCUCCUAGUUAAACUAGGAGAUUAUUUUUUUUUUCUAUUAAAUAGGAAUUAAAUACUUCUACUAAUUCAACAAAAGUUUCUCUUCUUCUCCUUAUUAAUAGAUGACACUAGUAGGGAUAAAAAAAAGUCACACACAACUUUUGAGAUAUUGUUAUUCUACCUGAAAAUAGUAAGAAUUUAUUUCUAAGUAUAAAUUCUAUUUUCCGAUAAUAACAAUUUUAUCGAUUUCUAUAAGAGAGAGAAUUUUACUUUUAUACUGAAAAUAAGAAAUUUAUUUUCAGUUCUAUGUUUGAUUUGAAAUUGUUCGAGCCCACACUCAAAGCGAUUCGUUGUACGAGAAUAGUGGAGAAGGUCGUUCGGUUGAAAGUCGGGAACGUUAAGGAUCCAUCUUACUCAAAGCACAUGUAUUAUUUCGAAAAAAGUUCAUUGCUAUAAAUAUUACAAAUUGGCUUGGUUUUCAAAAAUUUUAUUUUUUCGCUGUACAAAAAAUCGUUUUUUACCGAUUUUUUCUAAAUGGGCAAUCAUCAAAUUCACUAGGAGAAACACAUUCCACCCCGGAAUUAUGAAAACAAACAUCCAUUCCAGGUUAACCAAGACCCUAUCAAGCUUCCUAGAAAGAUACUUAUCCUGUUAUUGGUUUGACAAGUGUACUUUGGCCCAAAGAAAGCAUGGUCCACGAUUCUCAAAUCAUUCACAGCCUGAAUGUCUUAUAUCUGUAGUACUGGCUUGAGAACUAUUAAAAGUAAAACUCUCUAUGGAAGAAGGGUAACAUUGAAAUCACCUCCUAAAAUCCAAGGGCAAUCACUAAUUAACAUGUUUCCUCACAUAUUUUAUUAUAACAAAAUUUAUUUAAGUGAAUAACCUAAAACAAUUAUAACCUUAAUCUAUUAGAUAACAACUAUCAAAAUAAAAAUGUAGAUAAAUCAUUUAAGUAAAUAACAUAUUUUCUAAUAUAAUAUAAUUUAUAAUAAAAGUUAUCUCAUCAUCAAUUCUCCCCCACUCAAAAACUGAACUCAUCCCCAAAUUAUCCUUAUCAUCCGAAUAUGUUUUUCUGCAAGAACUCAAGUUUCUCCCAUAAAAUGACUCUCCUUUAGACUCAUUUUAUAAUGUGGCAUGUUUGAUAAGUUUGCUCCAAGCAUUGUAGAAAUUGUUCAUUCAUAAUAGCAAAAGUUUACAAACUAUUUAUAGGCUAUAGUCUACCCUUUAAAACCAAAAAAAAAAAACUAAAAAUAUUAAUAUAUAAUAAUAGCACCAAUAACUCUUGACCUUUCAUUCUCCUAAAAGAAGAAAACUACUAAUUUAAACCCAUUAAAAACAACAUAACUCUUGACCUUUCAUAACUCUUGACCUUUCAUAUAACAUAACUCUUGACAUUUCAUUUAAGUUUAUUCAACAAAAUUCCCCUGUAAACUUAAAUGCUUCUGCUAUCCUUCAUGCCAAUUAAUUUCUUGUAGUUGUCGAAGAGUACCAUCAGUAGCGAUUUUGUGAAGAUAUCCGCGACUUGGUCUCGACUUGCCACAUGCACUAAUUUCACAUUUCCUUCCUUUACAUGAUCUCGGAUGAAAUGAAAACGAAUAUCAAUGUGUUUGCUUCUCUCAUGAUUCACUGGGUUCUUUGCCAACUCAAUCGCUGAUUUAUUGUCAACUCGUAUCUCAGUUGCACCGAGUUGUUGUUGCUCCAACUCACCCAACAAAUUUUUGAGCCAUAUAACAUGACACACACACCAAGAUGCUGCCACAUAUUCAGCUUCACAUGUCGAUGGUAUCACGAUUGGUUGCUUCUUUGAAAAACAAGCAAAUGCUGUGUUACCCAUAAAGAACACAUAUCCCGAUGUACUUUUCUGAUCGUCUAAGUCUCUGCACCAAUCACUGUCGGAAUACCCAAUCAACUUGUAAUCUUCCAUAGUUGAAUAGAAUAACCCGAGUGACACUGUUCCUUGAAUGUACCGUAGGAUUCGUUUUAAAGCCUUCCAAUGUGAAUAAACUGGCUCCUCCAUGAACCGACUUACAAUGCCAACACUUAGCGAAAUGUCAGGCCUUGUGCAAGUGAGAUAGCGAAGGCUUCCCACCAAACUUCGGUAUUUACUCGCGUCGACUCGUUCUCUUCCAUCAAAUUUCGAGAGUUUUACACCUGGUUCCAUUGGUAUUGAUACCGGGUUGCAAUGUGCCAUCUUGUACUUCUUCAAAAUUUCCUUUGCAUAUGCCUCCUGUGACACAAAAAUACCUGUCGUUUCUUGUCUAACCUCCAAACCAAGGAAAAAUUUCAUUAAACCCAAAUCUAUCAUCUCGAAUUCUUGUGUCAUUUUGCUAUUAAAAACUAGUAUCAUCUCACCAUUGUUCCCUAUAAAAAUGAGGUCAUCGACAUAAAGAGCAACAAAUAACAUAUUACCUCCAUUCUUCUUCACGUAGAGAACAUGUUCGUAAGGACAUUGUUUGAACCCCUUCUCAUUGAAAUAUGUAUCGAUACGAGUAUUCCAUGCCCGCGGUGCUUGCUUCAACCCGUAAAGUGCCUUCUUCAAUUUCAGUACCUUUUUCUCUUUUCUAUUUUUCAUGUACCCAGGUGGUUGUUCGAUGUAGACUUCUUCUUCGAGCACACCAUUCAAGAAUGCCGACUUGACAUUCAUUUGAAAUAUCGGCCAUUUAAAUUAUGCCGCUUGUGCAAUGAAAAACUUGAUUGUCUCCAUUCUUACAACGGGAGCAAAUACCUCGUAAUAAUUGAUCCCCUCCUUUUACUUAUAUCCCUUUCCAACAAGUCCCGCCUUGUAUCGUUCUAACUCGCCUUGAGUAUUCAUCUUUCUUUUGAACACCCAAUUCACACUAAUGGGUUGACUUCCUUUCGGUAAUUCUAUUAACUCCCAUGUGUUGUUGCGUUCAAUUACUUUAAUCUCCUCAUCCAUGGCAGUUUGCCACUUCUUGUCUCUCACCGCCUCCUCAAAACUUAUAUUCUCGGAAUCUUCUAAAAUACAUACAAUAUGUACCUCAUUUGUUGAAUCAUACAAAUCUUGCAAACUUCGCAUUUUUGGUUGUUGCGGUUCAUCUUCAUCAUCCGUAGUUUCAGGAUCUGUCGAUAUGAUUGUUGGUGUAGCGAUUGAUGAUCCUCCAUUUUUUAUGAUAACCUCCGUUGAGUUAUUCCAAUCUCACUCGCUUGCUUCAUUAAAUCGUACAUCACGACUUACCACAACCUUUUUGCUUAUCGGGUCGAGUAGCUUGUAUCAUUUUGUUUUCUCAUCAUACCCAAUAAAAAUAAACCUUUUGCUUUUGUCUUCGAGCUUUGUUCUUCGCUGAUCCGGCACAUGUACAUAGGCCUCACUACCGAAUACUUUGAGAUGAAAAACUGAUGGUUUUUGUCCGCUCUAAGCCUCUUGUGGUGUUUGAUCAUCCAACUUCGCAUGUGGACAUCGAUUUUGCACAUAGGUGGCACAUUGCACAGCUUCCGCCCAAAAUUCCUUCUGCAUCUUUCUGUUCUUUAGCAUUAAUCGAACCAUGUCGAGAACAGUUCGGUUCUUCCUUUCGGCCACACCAUUUUCCAUGAAAACCGUCGAAGUAUACUCGCCACCUCUAUCAGAUCGUACAGAUUUGAUGUCUCUACCAGUUGCUUUUUCCACCAUCACUUUGAAUUUGAACACCUCGAAUGCCUUAAAUUUUUCUUUUAAAAAAUAAACCCAAGUUUUUAGUGAGAAAUCAUCUAUAAAAGAAAUGAAAUACCUUUUACCGCUAAAAGAUUCGGGGGUGAUUGGUCCAUAUAUGUCGGUAUGAAUCAAUUCGAGAAGUUGCUUAGCCCGAUAUUCUGCUUUCUUUUGAAACGAAAUUCUCGCAUGCUUGCCAAGUACAUAUUCUUCACAAAAUUUUCCCUCAUAGUCCAUGUCUGGUAGCCCAUGUACCAUGUUCUUCUUCGCCAACUCGUUUAGACCACCAUAAUGUAGGUGGCCAAAACAAAGAUGCCACAGCGACGCAUUGUCUUCAACAUCGACUCGCAAACAUUUUCCUCGAACGCUUUUCAAAUUCAACUUGUACAUGCAAUUUCUCUCUAUUUCGACUAGAGCGACCAAACGCCUUUCCUUAUCUUUCAAGUGUAACACCCAAUCUUUCAUAAAUACCGAAUAACCUUUUUCCAUGAGUUGCCGCAUACUCAAAAUGUUGCUCUUGAGGUCUAGUACGUAAUACACAUCUUGGAUUGACCCAACUAACCCAUCUUAUUGUAAAUAACAAACGGUACCUUAGCCUUUUACCUCAACCUUCGACGCAUCUCCAAAUGACACAUGUCCCGUUUCAAUAUUUUGCAUCUCUUUGAAUAGGUGCUUGAGUCCGCACAUAUGGUUGCUUGCACUCGUGUCAAGGUAUCACACCAUGUUGUUGUUGGUGUUGACUUCGUUGUGUGCCAUCAAUAGAAAACCUUAUUUUGCCUCCUUAUUUUCUGUGGUUAGGUUGGUUGUCUCUUCUACCUUUUUUGAGACGCGACAUUCUUUCUCAAAAUGUCCCGCCUUACCACAAUUGUAACACUUAUCAGAGUUACAAUCCUUUGCAUAAUGACCAUAUUUGCCACACUUGUAGCACUCGACAUUGGAAUAAUUCGACCAUCCACCUCUUCCACGACCACGUCUUAUUCCACGUCAAUUUUCUUGGUUUCACUACACCAAAACAGGCUUUUAACGGCGUUUCUAGCGGCGUUUGGAUAAAAAAUGCCACUAAAGAUCGAGCAUUAGCGGCGCAUUCUGGAAAACACCUUCUGCAAAAACAUAAGCCCAACGACGCCAUUUUGUGAGCUUUCGGGGAUUUAGCAGCGUUUUAAGAAAGUGCCGCUAAUGCUCAGCGCUUUAGCGGCGUUUUUGAGAAAGCACUGCAAAGAACAUAAGCCAAAACGACAUCAUUUUGUGAGCUUUGGGGGAUUUAGCGACGUUUUUAAAAAAGCGUCGCAAAGAACCUAAGCCAAAACGACGUCGUUUUGUGAGCUUUGGGGGAUUUAGCGGCGUUUUUAAGAAAGCGCUGCAAAGAACCUAAGCCAAAACGACGUCGUUUUGUGAGCUUUGGGGGAUUUAGCGGCGUCUUUGAGGAAGCGCCGCAAAAAACCUAAGCCAAAACGACGCCGAUUUAUAAGCUUUCGGGGAUUUAGCGGCAUUUUUAGGAAAGCGCCGCUAAUGCUCAGGGCUUUAGCGACGUUUUUGAGAAAGCGCCGUAAAAAACUUAAGCCAAAACAACGCCAUUUUGUGAGCUUUCGGGGAUUUAGCGGCGUUUUUAUGAAUGUGCCGCUAAUGCUCAAGGCUUUAGCGGUAAUUUUUGAAAAGCGCCGCAAAAAACCUAAGCCAAAACGACGUCGUUUUGUGAGCUUUGGGGGAUUUAGCGGCGUUUUCGAUGAAGCGCCGCAAAAAACCUAAGGCAAAACGACGCCGUUUUAUGAGCUUUCGGGGAUUUAGCGGUGUUUUUAAGAAAGCGCCGCUAAUGCUUAGGGCUUUAGCGGCGUUUUUUAGAAAGCGCCGCAAAAAACUUAGGCCAAAACAACGCCGUUUUUGUGAGCUUUCGGGGAUUUAGCGGCGUUUUUUAAGAAAGCGCCGCUAAGAACCUAAGCCAAAACGACGUCGUUUUUUGAGCUUUGGGGGAUUUAGUGGCGUUUAUGAGGAAGCGCCGCAAAAAAACCUAUCCAAAAUGGCGUCGUUUUAUGAGCUUUCGGGGAUUUAGCGGCAUUUUUAGGAAAGCGCCGCUAAUGCUUAGGGAUUUAAAAUAAUUUAAAAUGUUUGUUAAAAAUGGAAAAAUUAAAAUACUAUUAUUUAAAAUAAUUUUUUGGAUACAUUAUUGAUUUUUGUAAUUUAUAUAUUAAAUAAUUUCUUAUAUAAUCGUAAAAGAGAUAGUAUUAAUUUUAAAAUAUUGAAUUAAAUAUCAUUAUAGUUUAGGGUUUUUGGUUUAGGGUAUAUAGUUUAGAGUUUAAAGUUUAGGUGUUACCAUUUUAAGGUUUAUUGAUUAUGGGUUUAAGGGUUAUGGUUUAUGGUUUAAAGGUUGGGGUUUAAGGUUUAGAGGUUAUGUGCAUGUUAAGGGGUUAUGGUUUUAGGGUUUAUGUUUAUGGUUUAGGGUUUAGAUUAACUAGUGUUUUCUAAUUUAUAUAUUAAUUAAUUUCUUAUAUAAUUGUAAAAGAGAUAAUAUUAAUUUGGUUCUUCAAAAUCAUGUGAAGAUUUGGUUCUUCAAAAUCAAUAGAAGCUAUAUCCAAGGAUAUCCCUAUCUUAUCCCAUCCCGAUUCAGUAUUUUUAGUGCUCGGUUCAAUUUUUUUAUCCAGUUCAGUUUUUUUCGUGUUUUGCCUUGCCCCCGCCGUGAUCAAAUAAUUAUAUAUGGAUUUAGGGAUUAUGGUUUAAGGGUUGGGAUUUAAAGGUUUAGGGGUUAGUAGUUAGGGGUUAGGGGUUAAGAGUUAGGGAUUUACGGGUUAGGAUUUAAGAAUUUAAGGGUCGGGUUAGGGUUUAGAUUAAUUACUUUUUAAAUUUUUAUAUUAAAUAUGUUUUUAUAUAAUUGUAAAAGAGAUAAUAAUAAUUUUAAUAUACUAAAAUUAUGAGUAUAGUUUAUAUUAUUUAAGAGAUAUAUAAUAGAUAGACUUUAUGUAUAUUGAAUGACUAAUUUAGGGUUUAAAGUUUAUUUGAGAUUUGUUAAAUGAUACAAUAUUUUUCUAAAUUUUGAAAGGUUUUAUAUUUUUCGUGAUUUAAAAUUUUAAAAUAAAUUUUAAAAGAUUUCAAAAUUUUUAAAAAAUUUUAAAAAGAAUUUAAACUUUUAUUUUUAUAAUAUUUAUAUACUUUUAAAGAAAAGACCCAACUUUCCCCCUGAAACCCCUAACCCUUAACCCCUAAUUUAAAUAAUAAUGAUAAUUAAUCAAUACUGAAUUAAUUCAAUAUAAAUCCUAAUAUUAAUUAUAUAAAGCUUUUAAAUUUUUUAAAGAUAUUGCAAUAUGGAUAGCUUUUUAAAGCUUUUGUUCCUUCAUAUUUUAAAAUUUUUUGUUUUUUUUUUGUUUUCUUACCUCAAAAAUUAUAUAAAAAUUUUAAAAUUUAUCUAAUUCUUUAAAAUAUUACUUAAAUUUUUAAAAAUUAUUUAUUUAAAAUUGAUAUGAAUUAUAUAAUAAUUAAAUAUAAAAUUACAAAAAAAGUCAAUCAUUAGUGGCGUUUACGAGAAAAACGCCGCAACUAUGAAAAUUUUUAUUUUUCAAAAUGGCGUCGUUUGAUACAGAAAUUUAAUUUUUAGCAAAAAUUAUACAAUUAGUGCCGUUUUUUAUAAGCGCCACAAAUAUUUACAAUAAAUUUAAUUUUUAGCAAAAAUUAUACAAUUAGUGGCGUUUUUUUUUUAAGCGCCACAAAUAUUUACAAUACCAAAAUGGCGUCAUUUUCUUCCCCAAAUCAGAUUUGACUUAAAAAAACUUAAAAUUGAGCGGUGGGUUUUAUUACCAAAUGCCGCCAGCCCCCCAAGUUCUGAAAACAAAAUCCUUCACUUCAAAAUUUCGCUUUCCCUCACUUCAAACCGCCGACGAUCCCUCCCCUCAAGCUCCCUUGCCUAUGCUCAAGUCCACCAUCACCGGUGCCGCUUCCACCUCUCUUUCUGCUCAUAAGAAGACCAAGGGUCGUGGCUUCUGUGAGGGCGAUGCUGACCUCCACUCCCGUCUCGCCUCCCGCGACUUCGAGUCCCUCGGCACUGACGACGGCCCCGGUCCCCAGAGAUGUUAGUCCCUUCACUAAACCCUAAUUUUUUCUCUCCCUGUUCACUUAUAUUGUUUCAUUUUGUUUGAUUUUCUAGGGUUUUUUUUCUUUUUUUUGCCCUACAAAACAAGAUGAUUACGAAAUUGCUUUCAUUUUUGCAGUAUGGAAGUUGAUCUUAAUUUCAUAACAAAACUGGGUUUUAAAUUAGUUGGGAAUUUGAUAGUUUUUGCUUAAUGCUGAAACUUGAGCGGGUUUCUGAUUUUUUUAAUUAUAACUUAAUAAUUAUAGUAAUGCUAAAGGAACUAACAUGGACCUUUAAUUCCUUAUAACUGUUGAUUUUUAUAGACUUGUCCAAGUCAUUGAUAUUGACUUACAUAACUGUUGCUCCUUUAAUUCCUUUUUAAUUUGUUUAUUGUAGACCUUCAUCACUAAUGCAUUUGUUUGCAGGUACCAGCAAGGCCGAACCAUAUAAAAUCGGUGAAAGGACGACUGAUAUCAUGCUUGAAAUAUUAAAUUUGGACAAGAAAGAGGUUGUCUCAAUUAAUGGAAUUUCAAAUCAGGAAUUUACUGAGGUGCCAAUAGAUUCCUCGAUGCUGUUCUGUAAAACAUAAAAUGCCAUAUUUGGGCCUGCAUUUAUUAACAAGACUUCCAUUUAGGGAAGUCUAACGUGCUGAUUUUAUAACCAUUUCAAAGCAAAAGAGAAUGAGUUUUGUUGUUGGUUAGAUUUUAUAAACAUUCUUAUCAUUCACAGCAUGUAAAAUAGUGAAAAUGAUCCAUGACUUUUUGUUUUGAUAUUUUUGUGGGAGAUUGAAUUGCCACAGGUUCAAAACAAGUUUUAAGUUAUUGAUUUCUGCAGUAUUAUUUGCAUAGUUUCUCACUUGGUUUAUUUCCUAGAAGCAUUAUAUUGCAUUUCCAUUUUGUGCUGCUUUUAUCAUAUAGAUAAGAUUUGAUGGUAACAAACCAAUAAUUGAGUUUUGGCUUUUGAGUGUUGUCACUUUUUUAUUUUAUUUUUGAGAACUGAAUUGUGUAUAUGUGACUACAUGUUAAAUUGUGGAUAUCAUGCUUUCAUUUUCAGAAUCUUAAAAGUAACUACUUUACAGUGCUAUGUUAAUUGAAUUGUGUAUAUGUUGUUAAUUGAUAUGUUAAAGUGCUACAAAUUGAAGUGUUUAAAUGCUGUAACUUGAAGUGCUACUUUCCAUUGUCACCUCCCCCAUUUCUUUAUGCAUCAAUAACUAUAUUAAUGAAAUCAAGUACUACAAUUAUAUAUUAUUACAGAUGGGGGUUAGAGAAUACGAUCAAAGGGAAAACAUCAGAUAUGGUGAUUCCCAGCCAAGCAGUGGCUUCUUAGGCACCCAACAUUUUGCACAACCAAACAUGACCAGAACUUCUAAACCUACACGUUGAGUUUGCUACACACAAGUCCCUUCCUUUUUUUAGUUUAUGUGCUAUGUGAUGAUUGUGUUUUAAAAUUUAACUUGUUUUAGUUCCUUACAUUCUUAUAGGAUUCACACUCAAUGAGCAAGAAACAUCUCAGCAACUCAUUGGGAUCGAGCAGUCAAAAUUCAGAAUCAAGUGACACACAAGAGCUAGAUUUGGAGCUUAGACUGUCACUGUAAUCAGUAAUUUUUUUUACUACUUUAAAUGCAUGCUUAUGGAACUACAUUUUAUGCUUUCCUAGAAUUGUAAGGUCAAAUAAGGUGUUGAUCUACAAUUUAUACAUACAACUUGAGCAAGUUGAUAUGAACUAGUUUGAUUUUUUUUUUUAAAUUUCAAAGGAAUCUUAUGUAAUCAAAGGCAAUUUGACUUGCUGCAUGAGAUAUAGUGAAAAACAUUGAUCUUCUUAUUCAUGAAUUUCCAUUUUAAUACGUCUUCAAAUUAAAGUAUACAUUUCUUAAUUGGUGGAAUCUCACUUUUGCUGUUGCUACAAUCUCUAACCAAAGAAUGGAGUGAUGUAUGUACUGAUAACAGUUCUAAAGGAUUUGAUUAAGUAGGUAAAGGGCUAGGAAUGGAUUUGUGGCAUUUUAAUAAUAAUUUUUUUUUAUUUUCCAUGACCUUUAGCGGCAUUUUUGGGGAAAGCGUCGUUAAAGGUCUUGUUCUUUAGCGGCAUUUUUGAAAAAAGCGCUGUUAAAGGUCUUGUUCUUUAGUGACGUUUUUGGAAAAGCGCCGCUAAAGGUCUUGUUCUUUAGCGGCGUUUUUGGGAAAGCGCUGCUAAAGGUCUUGUUCUUUAGCGGCGUUUUUGGGAAAGCGCCACUAAAGGUCACGACCUUUAGCGGCGUUUAUUUUUAAAAACGCCGCAAAUGUUAGCAACGUUGCCAAUAGUGGCAUUUUUUACGGUGUUUGUGAAAGCGCCGCAAAUACUUUUAGCAGCGCUAAAGGCCUAAAAAAACGCUGCUAAAAACCUGUUUUUGUGUAGUGUUUGAAUGCUCAUUCUCCUCAUAAUUCCCUUCUUGACCUCGGCCUUUUGCACCACGACCAUUUCCUCGAUCUCCACGACCAUGACCUCUACCUCGAAAGCUCUGAGAAUAGAGAAAUUUUUCGUCUUUGAUUGAUGCUUUGGUUUGAAGUGCUUGCUCGAAUGUCUCAUCUUUUUUCUUCUUCUUACGUUGUUCAUGUGCCUCGAGAGAACAGACAAGUUCAUCGACUGUGAGCGUUGCUAGAUCCUUUGACUCUUUUAUGGCACAUACGACAUUUUCGAAACUGUCAGUUAAUGAUCUCAAAAUCUUCUCUACAACUCGUGCAUCGGUUAACGUUUUUCGUUUCGGUUGAGUUGGUUCACCACGAUUUGAACACGCGUGAUGUAGUCGGAGGCACUUUCCGAUUCUUUCAUCGUCAUUCCUUCCAGCUCACCACGAAGAGUUUGAAGGCGGACUUGUUUAACUCGGUCGGCUCCUUUGUACACCUUUGCUAAAAUGUCCCACGCUUCUUUUGAAGUUGUCGCACUUUCAAUCUUCUCAAAGCCCGACUCAUCAACAGCUCGAAAUAACAUGUACAAUGCUAUCUUAUCUUUCGAUUACAUUUCUUUCAACGCCUUGUUUUGAGCCGCCGUAUAUCCCGCAGUAGUUGUCAGUUCUACGAAACCUUCUUGGACCACCUCCCAACCAUCUUGAGACCCGAGAAGAGCUUUCAUUUGGUUGCUCCAAUUCUCAUAGUUCACCUUUGUUAGUCGAGGCAGUGGCACAUUACUAGUCACACUCUCCAUAGCUCUGAUACCAAAUUAUAGAAAUUGUUCAUUCAUGAUUUCAAAAGCUUACAAACUAUUUAUAGGCUAUCGUCUACCCUUUAAAACAAAAAAAAACUAAAAAUAUUAAUAUAUAAUAAUAGCACCAAUGACUCUUGACCUUUCAUUCUCCUAAAAGAAAAAACUACUAAUUUAAACCCAUUAAAAACAACAUAACUCUUGACCUUUCAUAUAACAUAACUCUUGACAUUUCAUUUAAUUUUAUUCAACAAGCAUAAGCAAUAAUUAUAUAGGCAAGUCCUCUUGUAUAAUAUCUUUAAACCCUUAGAAUAAUAUUUGUGCAUCUUCAGAGACUGGUUUCUCUAUCAGUAUCUUCAUCUUUUUGACAAUUCUUUUUCCAGUUACCUUCUCCUUCCUAUCAUUGUCAACUACCAAGUUAUAAAUAUUACCAUCAAUGGUGUAUUUGGUUUGGAAAUGCUAGUCAUACUAGCUCAUAUCUUUCUUUUUCUGAGACUAGCAACAUCUUUCAAAAAAACAUAAAUCUAGCUCAAAAUCUUUGCCAUCACUCCCACCUUCAAGCCUACAUGUCAUCUUUUCUCCCUCUUUAUAAUCUUCUCGCUCUACUAUAUUAUUACUCUUUUUUUUUAGGCAAUCACUCUAAAGAUGCCCAAUUUAAUUGCAACAGAAGCAUUUUUCCUAUGGUUGGCUUGGCAUAUAAAUUUUUUUGUGUGCUUUUGGGUACCCUGCACUAGCUUUUUGUUGUCUUUUUUAUCACCGACAUGUUUCUCUACUUGUUUUUGUGCAUUAUAGAUGGAUAUAUUCUUGUAUGUCACCAUUUAUCAUAUUAAUGGAGGUGAUUUUUCUUAGUCAAUUUUGCCUUCUACUCUUGCACCAUCAUUAUUGCCUUUAACACCAUAUUUCGUGCUCCAACAAUGUUUGCCAACAUUUGCACAACAAUAUUGUCUUAGGUUACAAGCCUUAGCCUAUUGAGGUAUUUGUAUACCUAUUGGCUAUUGGACUCCUUCAGAUGUGUUUUUGCAAGCUUCAUGAACUCCAUAGUGUAGUUGUUGUAAUAGCCCGAUUUUAGGCUUAGUCGGAACAGUGGUUUCGGGACCACAAAUCCGACUGUAAUGGCUUGAAUUUUCAGAGGUGUCGGAACGGUGAUUCGAGAUCACUAAAUUCGACAAAUGGGUAGAAAAUAUUAUUAAUUUAGUAAGUAUAAGUUAAAUAUGAAGUUAGGAAAAUUUUUGAAAUAGUGAAUAGUGCACUAGAAAUAAAUAUUAAAAUAAUUAGAAUCGAAAUGAGGUAUCAAGACCUCGGGGAUUUUAAACUGAGCCAUAAAUAUUUUUAUAAAUAUUUAUGGAGUGUUAAAAAGUUAGUAUUAAAGUUUCGUUAAGAAAUUUUAAAGUUCCGAUAAUUAAUUGAACAAAAAGGACUAAAUUGUAACGAAUGCAAAAUUUUGGGAAAUGAUUAAAUAGCUUAAAUGAUAAAAGGAAGAGGGCUUAAAAAGCAAAUAGACCCAAGGUCUAUUUGGGCUGGACGGCAGAGGCAUGAAAUCAGCAAGAAAGUAAGGAGAAUUAAGGGCAAAAUUGGAAAAUUGCAAAAUUUGCUUAAUAAAGUUAGGACCCAAGUGGAAUUAUCUAGAUUUCUCUUCAUUUUUCUGAAUUCUCAUCAGCUAAAACACCAUGGAAGGGCUUCUUCAAGCUGGUUCUUCAUAUUUUUAUUACAAGUAAGUUCAAUUCUUGACUAUUUCUUGAAAGUUUUAAUUUUGAUGAAAUUUUAUAACUCGGUUAAAUACGUUUACAAGUGUAUGUGUUUUGGUAAUGCCUCGUACCCUAUUCCGGUGUUGGAUACGGGUAAAGGGUGUUACAUUUAGUGGUAUCAGAGCUACGGUUUAGUCGGUUCUCGGACCAAACGUAGCAUAUGUGAGCCUAGCUAUACAUGCCACGUUAUUACUCUUGAUGAUGUGAUAUCUCCGGGCUCUAACGAAAUUGCUUUGUUAAGACAGAGAUGAUUUUCAAUCGAGCUAUUUUCGAUAAUGCUAAAAAUGAUAUUGAGAUAAAUGAAAUAUGCUCACAUUAUGUUGGAAUUUGGAAAGGUAAGUAUAAAAAUUUGUGAUAUGGAUGUGUUCAUGUAUGAAAAGAGAUGACUAUAAGUAAAAAAAAAAAAGUUUAUGUUGUGAUAAGCUCAUCCAAGUAUGUUGGUGAUUAUAUAAUGCUAUGUGCUCAACAUAUUUGAUUAAGUGAAUAUGAUAAGCAAAUUUACUUAAAUAGAUGGAACGUGUGUAUGUACAUCUGCUUGAAUAAGUGAAAUUAGUAUGUUCAUAUGAUAGAAUCUUAUGUUUAAUUGUUAAAUUAAAGAUAAUAAGAUAUUUUGUUUUAUGUCUAAACCAUGAAUAUUAUAAUAGUAUGAAAAAUUGAAUUGGAAGUCAAAUUGAGUAGAACGCAGGAAUGAGUACUUUCGUUCAGUGAUAUGUGAUGAAUUGACGGAAAAGACCAUGGUUUGACCAUGGCAACAUGUGAACAUGUGAUUAUGUGAUUCCGUGUAAGACCAUAGCUGGGCUAUGGCAUCGGUAAGUGAUAUGUGAUUUCGUGUAAGACCAUAGCUGGGCUAUGGCAUCGGUAUGUGAUUUGUGAUUACGUGUAAGACCAUAGUUGGACUAUGGCAUCAAGAAAACGAAGUACUCAAUUCCGUAAGACGUUCUCUAAUUUGGCAAAUAUCGGUAAGUAAAAUAGAAGCCAAGUAUUGGAAUUUAAUUAGAUAUUAACAUUGAGCUUGAGUAAGUAAAUUCGUUGUGUGAAAUUGUGAGUGACAGAAAACAUUUGUAAUAAAUAGAUGUGUUAAUUUGCUUGGAAUGAAUUACGUGGUUUUGAUGGUAUUACAUUGAUGAUGAAUACAAAAUCAUAUAUAUAUAUGUAUCUAUGAGAGCAAGUUGAAAGAUUUAUGACUUCACCAUCACCCCCUUAUCAGUAUUGUUCUAUGACGAAAAUUAUCUUGAUGAGACAGAUAUGUUUUUCAACUGAGUUAAUUCUAAUAGUAUAGAAAUAAAUACUAAAAUGUUUGAGUGAAAAUGUAUUGAUUAUGAGUUGAAACUCAUAAAAGUAUGGAUCAAAGAAUAAAACAUUUUUUUUAUUGAUGAAUGUUAUAAUUAUACAAGCAUAUGAGUUAUGAUAUUUGGAUUAUGAUGCUAUAUAGAAAUUUUGAUUGUGAAUUAGUGAUUUGAGUUAGAAUUUUGUGUUGAGAACAAAAGUGAUUAAAAGCAAAUGUUUAUUAAAUGCUUUGAGAAUGUGAACUUAGUAAUGAAUUGGCUAUUUGUGAUGGUAUGUGUUAUGCGCAUUUAUGUGUAAGAUAAAUUUGAGGCUUUACUACACUCACCCCCAUAUUAGUAAAAUGUUACAAUGAAAUUUGUGAGAUUUUGGUUGAAUAAGCUUACGAGUGUAGUGUUACAGAAGUUCGUGUACGGAAGAAUAAUAAUGUGGUCGGAAAAGUGAAUGAAUUAGAAAAUGAGGACAAUAUAAAAAGAGAGAAAUAUUUGAUAGUUCUGAAAACUACUCAGAUUAUCAAAAUGGAUAUCAUUCUAUAUGGAUUGUAAUUUUUCGAUACUUUGUGUAGCUUCAGAUGCUGAAAUAUCGCUAUCCUGAUUUUCUUAUGAAUCUAUGUGAUUAUCUGUAAAAGAUAUGAAAAUCCAAAAUCAUGUGCGAAUUUGAAAUAUACUGUGGAAGUAAAUCAUUAACCUACCAUCUGGUAAGAUUUUCGGGGACGAAAAUCCCUAAAGGGGGGAGAGUUGUAAUAGCCCGAUUUUAGGCUUAGUCGGAACAGUGGUUUCGGGACCACAAAUCCGACUGUAAUGGCUUAAAUUUUCAGAGGUGUCGGAACGGUGAUUCGAGAUCACUAAAUUCGACAAAUGGGUAGAAAAUAUUAUUAAUUUAGUAAGUAUAAGUUAAAUAUGAAGUUAGGAAAAUUUUUGAAAUAGUGAAUAGUGCACUAGAAAUAAAUAUUAAAAUAAUUAGAAUCGAAAUGAGGUAUCAAGACCUCGGGGAUUUUAAACUGAGCCAUAAAUAUUUUUAUAAAUAUUUAUGGAGUGUUAAAAAGUUAGUAUUAAAGUUUCGUUAAGAAAUUUUAAAGUUCCGAUAAUUAAUUGAACAAAAAGGACUAAAUUGUAACAAAUGCAAAAUUUUGGGAAAUGAUUAAAUAGCUUAAAUGAUAAAAGGAAGAGGGCUUAAAAAGCAAAUAGACCCAAGGUCUAUUUGGGCUGGACGGCAGAGGCAUGAAAUCAGCAAGAAAGUAAGGAGAAUUAAGGGCAAAAUUGGAAAAUUGUAAAAUUUGCUUAAUAAAGUUAGGACCCAAGUGGAAUUAUCUAGAUUUCUCUUCAUUUUUCUGAAUUCUCAUCAGCUAAAACACCAUGGAAGGGCUUCUUCAAGCUGGUUCUUCAUAUUUUUAUUACAAGUAAGUUCAAUUCUUGACUAUUUCUUGAAAUUUUUGUAUUUUUAUGACUUUUACAACUAGGCCCACUUGUUAAAUUCAUUAGUUUUUGAUUUUAUGAAAGAAGUUGAAAGUUGAUAUGAAUAUGUGCUGGAAUUAUAUGAUGAUUUAGCAUGAAAUUAGAGCUUUAAAUUGUUCAUAUGCUGAUUUUAUUGAAAGAAUUGAAUAGAAAGUGAAUGUUUGGGGACCUAAUAGUAAAAGAGUUUGAAGAUAGAGUUAUAUAUGGAAAUUCUGAAUUUCAAUAGUUGUGUAACAACUUAUAAUGUCUAGUAAAGUACUAAUUGAGAAAAUUAGAUUAAUUGAGGGGUUAAUUGAGAAAGGACCGAAUUGUAUAAACUGUGAAAUUUGGGGCAAAAUGGAAAUCAACAUUUUGCACUAAAGCAGUUUUGGACAGCAGCAGUAGUGUAACUUUGAAAAAUCACCAAAAAUUGUAGAGAUUGAAUUAGAGGAUGAAUAAAAUAUGAAAUUAAAGCUUAUUGAGUCUAGUUUCUUAUAAAAGAAAUGAUGUGAGCAAUGGAAUUGUAAAUCAUGAGAUAUAAUAGAUUUUGUGAGACAAGGUCAGAAUGAAUUCGGGUUCCCCUGUUCUGAUUUUGGAAAAUCAUUAAAAAUUCUACAGAAAUUAUUAUGAGUUAUAGUUUAUAUGGUUAGAAUCCUUAAUGAGUCUAUUUUUAGAAGAAACAAGCUAAAACAUCAUCCGAAUUCUGUACAAUGAGAUAAUUAAUUUUUAGUGAAGAGUGGUCGGAACUGUCAGACAGCGAAACAGGGGAAACUUUAAAGAAUAAACUGUACUAUUUGGCUGAACCAAAAAUUAUGAAAAUUUUAUGGUAUGAAGAUAUGUGAGUCUAGUUUCAGGGAAAAUUAACGUAUCUUAAUUUGGAGCUUUGUAGCUCCGGAUAAAAAUAAUUUAGUGACUCUGACUCGGAUAAACAGCUUUGAAUAUACAUGUUAGUGAAUAUUGAAAUUAUGGUUAAUGUUGUUUAAGUGUGUUAUACACAUUAAGGAUGUGGAAUGGAGAGGAGGAGGAGGAAAAUUGGGAAAUAUAUGAAUGAUUCGUGUAUAAAUGGUCAUAUGUUUGAUUAUAACUCAUAAACGAUGAAAUAUGAAUGAUGCUUAUUUUUGUGCAUUAUUGGUCAUGGUUUAAGCUCAUGUGUGAAAAUAAAGUUUCAUAGUAUGUGUGUAUGGUAUAUUCAGUAUAUGAUUUGGCAUGAAAUAAUACCAUGAAUGGUUUAUGAAUUAACACAUGUUGGUAAGCCUGAUAUAUGAAUAAAUGAUCAAAUUGAGCGGAACGCCGGAUUUGAGUACUUCUGAUCAAGUGAUAAAGUGAUAAGUGAUAGCUUCGGCUAUACUUAUCUGAUCAAGUGACAAAGUGAUAAGUGGCUACACUUAUCUGAUCAAGAAACAAAGUGAUAAGUGGCUACACUUAUGUGAUCAAGAAACAAAGUGAUAGGUGGCUACACUUAUCUGAUCAGGGACAAGUGAUAAGUGAUCAUACGUAAGACCAUAGUUAUACUAUGGCAAAGUGAAAGUGAAGUACUCAAUUUUUUCCGUGACCGUUCCCUAAUUUGAUUAAAGAUGGUAAGUGACAAAUGGGCCCAAAAGAAUUAAAGUAAAUGGAUAAGUGGUAGUGUAUUUAUAUCAGGACGAUGUUGUUAUUCAAACUAAAGUGAUAUUUUCAUUGCUAAAUUGAGAAUUUCAUAAAUGUGUUAUUGAAUGGUAUAAUCAAUAAACAUUGAGUUAAACGGUAAAUACGUAUUAGUUUUGAAUUUGAUGUCAUUGAAUUGUACGUGAAUUAAAUGAAAAUUUCUAGUGAUAUGAUUUAAAUUAUGAGCAUGAGAAAUUGCGAAUUGAAUGAAAUGGAAAUGAAGCAUUAAAUUGCAUGAGUAUGUAUCGGGUCUCACAGGCCCUAAUUAUUAUGAUUAUAAUAUUUUAAGGAUAUAUUGUGAAAAGUUAUAGAAACAUGUUAAUUAUUUUUGAAAGUUUUAAUUUUGAUGAAAUUUUAUAACUCGGUUAAAUACGUUUACAAGUGUAUGUGUUUUGGUAAUGCCUCGUACCCUAUUCCGGUGUUGGAUACGGGUAAAGGGUGUUACAGUUGUGCACCAAUCUAUUUCCUUUGGUACACCAUUGAUAUUGCAAGAAUAAAUAUUGCUCAUAAUUCAUGUAUAAAAAUGGAGCCUUGAGCAAUUGCUUCAUUUUGCACCAUGGUCGCUCCAUAUGCUAUUAAUCUUGCCAUUAAUAUUACAGGAAUAGAUAUUGCUCAUAAUUCAUGGAUAAAAAUCUAGUAUCUUAUAAAUAUUCUCACCAAGCUAAGGCUACUCCCUUUAAUCCGUAUGCUACUAAUCUCACCCUUCUCUCCUAAGGAUCUUCAUAUAGUAAAAAAAAUCCAUCUACUUCUAUAAGUUAGCCCAUAAAACCCUCUAUAUUCAAAUUACCAUCAACCUUAGGAAAAUCUACCUUUAGGCGAAACACAUCAUCUCGAGCAUACCAUUGGGCAAGUUUCCUCACCCUAUGUUAACCAUGUCGAUAUCCUUCUUCAUCCUCUGAAUCUUGCACAUUAGCUUGUUGUUGAAAUUAAGGGUGAGAGUUCAAUCGGAUCGAGUAAAAAAAUUUUGAGUUAAUCGAGUUGACGAGUCCUAUUUUAUCAAAUCCUAACUCAAAUUAAAAUUUUUUCGAAUUGAGUCAAGUCGAAUUCAGUGAAAUUGUUCCGAGUUAAAUUAAAAAAUUAAACCUGCCAAAUUAAAAUUUGGUUACAGUAUAAGUAAUUUCAUAUUAGAGCAAAUAAAUUUGAAACCAUAUAUAUUUAAAAUGUUUUUUUUCAAAGCAAAAAAAGAAGAAGAUACUUUAGUAUGAUACACAUGAAUCAUUAUUUAACUUAUUUAGCUCCCAAAAUUAUUAUUUUAGAAAAAAUUUAAAUAUUUAACUUUCGUUAUAUAUUAUUUAGAAUUUUUAUAAAAACUUAUUAUUAUAUAAGAAUAAUAUAAAUGGUAUUUUUUAUAUUAUUAAAUUAUUUUAUACUUUCACCUCACGGCUACAUAUGCCUUUGAAAUUAAAUACAUAUUUCAUCAUUGAUUUUAAUCAUAUUACUACAAUAUUCAAUCUUAUUGCUACAAUUAUUAAUCUCACUGACACUACUGUUAUUAACCUCAUAAAAAAUGAACACAAUCCCAUGGAAAGAAAGCCUUAAUAUAGCUUAUUUCCAUUGGUUAGCAUAAUACAAAACUGAACCAUAGCCUCACCAGAUUUCCUUCAUUUAAACUUUGAAGUAAGACAAAAGAAAGCCGAAUGGGGAAUUAGCAACACAUUUCCUAUUUUGAAUACUAUUGAAGUUUUAGGGUUUCAUUUAUAAGCAAGUUGGGUAAAGAAAAUGGCUUUUCUUCUUGCAACCGUUCUUUGAAUGUUACCUAAAAGUGUUGUUAUAAAUAAUACAUAAUUGAUUUGAUAACUCCACAAAUGAUUGAAUUUCUUGUAUUUGUUUAUGAACAUAGUGUGUGUUUAUAUAUAACAUCAUUUUCAGUAUAAUUCAGUGUAUAUCUAUGUUAAAUAAUUAGCUUAGACAAGGUGUUCAAUUUCAAUCAAAGUCCUUGACUUAAACAUGCUCAUUGUUUAAUAGAUAAAUUAUAUUUAUGGGGUUUUUCAUAUUUUAAUUAUCUUUUUUAAAUUUAAUUAUUUUAAUUAAGAUAAUUGUGUAAUUUAGUCUCUCUCGUUAAAUAUUUUGUUAAUUACUAAGCAAGUUAGCAAUCCACAUGUGAAUGUGAUCCCAAACCCCACAUGUGCACAAUUAGCAACUCUUUGUCACGCCAACUUUUCUUCCAUUCGAAUGAGACAAUUUAAAACUACGUGUACGAUUCUUGAUUCGUUUGAGUUCCCCCAUGAUCUCUCUAGCACCCAACCUAUCAUCCUUAUCAACCACAGAACCAAACACAGAACCAAAUUGAAUCAAACACAAAAUCUGAAAUAUUUUCUUUACUUUCAAUAGGAAAGAGAAUCUCUCUUAAAUAGAAACCAAUAGAAUUACAUUUCCUAGAAAAUAGAAUUUAUUCUUAAAAUAAAUUUCCACUAAUUUUUACCAGAAUAGUAAUAUUGAAAACUUUAGAGAAACUUCUGUUUUUCACUUUCUGUUAAUGUGAAAAUGAAAAUCUCUUCUCAAAUAGAAAUUGAUAGAAUCGUUAUUCCAGAUAAUAUAUUUAAUUCUUAGAGAAUAAAAGUCUCUCUAUUUUUGGGCAGAAUAACAAUAUCUAAAAGUUGUGUUAAUACCCUUAAUGUUGCUAUCUAUUUAUAAGGAGAGAAGGUAGAACCCUUAUGCAACUGUAGAAGUUUAUUUCAACUAGAAAAAUAAACUCAUAGUCCAACUAGAAAUAUAGGCGGCAGCAACCCUAACUAUUUUUAGUCGUCCACCCCUUUUUACAUAAGAGGCUUUUGGACCUCUUCCAUAUCGGGUCCAAUUACAAGUACCUCCCGGGCUUUUAACCUAAUACUUUAUAAUUUGAUCCAACCCAAUAUUUGUAUUUCUAUUUCCCAAAAUAAACUUCAAUAUUUCCAAUUGAAUAAUUUUUUCAACUCAAUUUUAAUUCCAUUAAAAUCAUGAAGACUUUAACGUAAAAGAAUCUAUGAGAAAAUAUAUUUAAUAUUUUCGUUUUCAACGAUUCACUAUGACCAAAUGGUUUAUUUCUAUUUUUGAACUUCAUUUAAUUCGAAAAACAUAAAUUCAUUUUCCAGGUCAUCUUCAUUUUUCAUUUUCAUUUUCAUUUUCAUUUUCAUUUUGGAGAAAACAAUAAUCAUUUCCAAAUGAUUUCCCAUUUCUUUAUUUUCACCAUUUCUAUUCAUUUAUAUUCAUUUUAUUCAACAUGCAAUUCAUUUCUGGUUUCAACGAGCUAGUGGAAGGACCGAUUGGACAUAUGCAAUUGAGGCUCAAAUGAUUUAUAAGUUUCAGCUUUUCGCCUAUUAAUUAUAAGCUCAUUUAGUCACGAAGUCAUUCCACUAUAGUAUCGGGACUGAGCUCUCCCUAUCGGCAUACCAUUACGAAAGAAACUCGAUCAGUGCUCGUCUAAUGACCUUGUCAUAAGUGUGUUACCCUCAUAGGAUAUCCGUAAUAUUUUUGGGAUAAUAUCCAUUCUCCCAAUAUGAUCUUAUUUUAUCUCAUGGUAAACAUUACAUCUUCCUUCAUGAAAAGUCAAUUACUAUCAAAUAGUAAUCAAGUCAUUCAUCACAAAAGAUGAACAACUCGUGGCCACAUUUACUUUUCAUCAACCAUGUAAUGCCAAUGAGAGGAUAUCAUUUACCCAUGUCUCAAGCUAUGAAUUCCACUGCUGUGAAUAAUGCUACCUACUGCAGAAGUCAUACACCCAACACACCAACUUUCGGUUCCUUAUUUAUUCGAAUUCAAGCUUUUACUUACAUCAAAGUGUACGAGUCACACAUACAUAGUUCGUCAUCCACUCAGGAUUUAGGUAUGCCGCACUAUGAACGUCACAAGUGAAUAAAUCUAUAAAUGAAUUCAAGAUCUAUUCUUCUUUGGUCCACUCUGAUGUAAUGUCAAUCCAGUCAAUCAUAUCUAUGUCUCUAUCUUCUGAGAGUCGUUCGCUUCAAUGCCCAAGAUGAGGCAUCUCCCCAACUAGACUUGAUAGAUGAUAUAUUAGUCUUUCAAUCGGUUUUCUAAUUUUCGAUUAGAUUAGGGACAUGUUUAGGUUCGUGUACUAAUACAAGUUGUCUUUCCGUAUUACGACCAACUACAUAAUAUCGCUUAGUAUCAGUUUAAACAUUAGACAACCAAUGAGCAACAUUUGCUUCUAUUUUACUUUGGGUGCAAAAACUAUAUGAGAACAAUAAUACAAAGUAUAUUAAUUUUAGUUAAUGAAUUUGUUUUAUUAACCAAUCUGUUCGAAAAAAUUACAAGUUACAAAUGAAUAUACUACAAUUAGGGUACUAGAUCCAAUAGUAUCUUUCUUUCUAAACCCGUUUGGUUCCACAUAAGUCGUUAAAAGCAUCUCAUCUUCCUCACCAAAUUCUAUAUAGUUUGUUUCUAUAUUUUCAUGGAACUCAUUAGAAAUUUCCAAUUUUAUGAAAUUUGUAGCUUUCCACCGUUGCUUUGUUAAAACUUGCUUGACCUCUCCCUCUCCCUCUCCCUCUCCCUCUUCUUCUUUUAUAAGCACUACGACCACGACCUUUUCCUGUAUCAUAUGUCAAUUUCAAAAACUGCUCCUCUCCAUGAUGCCUUUGAAAUUUAUGUUCAUGUACUAUUAAUGAGCUUUGUAAUUCAUCUAUAGUGAGAGCAUCAGUGCCUUUUGAUUCCUCAAUAGAACAAACAACAUAGUUAAAACUUUUCAGUUAAAGAGCAUAGAAUUUUUUCUACCAUUUUAACAUCCUGCAUAUUUUCUUCAUAAGUUGCAUCUUGUUGUUCACUGUCAUGACCUUUGAGAAUUACUCUAUCACUCAGUCAUCAUUCCUUAUCUCAAACAUUUCAAAUUCUCUGUGGAGAGAUUGAAGAUAAGAUCUCUUGACCUUUGCAUUUCCUUCAUAUUUUUUCUUUAUGGUAUCCUAUAUUUCUUUGGAAGUAUUCUUGUUGAGAAUGGUUUGUCUCAUCAUUAUUCUUUCUUUGUGUAUUUAACUAAUGUGCUUUUCUUUCUAGUUCGACAUAGUCAGGAUUCACCUCCUAAUAUUCCUUAGAAUGUAGAAAAUUUUCCUUUAAUAUGCUCCAAUGAUCAUAGUGACCAGUGAGGAAUAGUUGGUUGUAUAAAGUUGUCAGAAUUCAUCUUUUGAGUCAUUUCUAUGUUGUUGCUAGAAUUUCUCAAGCCCUGAGGGGGUUCUAAUACCAAAUUGUUGGGAACUUUGAUCUAAUACGAGACACAAGAACACAAGUAAACAAUAAGAUAGACUUUUAAUGACUUGAGUUUUACUGAUGAUGACCUUGGCUUAUAUAGUCACACAAUAAGAUCUUAAUAGAGAAUAAAAACCACACACUCAAAUCAAAUCAAAGAUAAGAGAUAAUAGUAACAUAGAAUAAUUCAAAUACCAAUAUCUCUGAAGAAUAUGAACUUAUUCUAACAAUAAGUUCUGCAAAAGACUCUUUUAUAAAUUUCGCUUUUCUCUACUAGUCAGAACAACUGGUGGUAACCCAAAUCUAGACACUCGGGUGUUCCUUGAGGUUUGAUCCAAAUAAAUUCUGAUUUCGAGCCUCAUUGGCCAAGUAAGCAAGGCUUUUAGACGAUUGUGAAAAUGGCCGACGAGGGUUCUUUUAGCUUCGUUGUGGAGUUUGAUACCAAUUUUAUCCCUUCACUUGGUGACAUCAAUGGUAAUCAUGUUAGCGUUUAUGUUAACUCCGCUGUUUCUUUGGCUGCGAUUGAUGUUUUGUCAAAAGGGUUUUGAUCUUCAAAGAGUGAAAAUGAUAUCAACUUUGAUUGAGUAUGGGAUUAAGAGAAAUUGAUUCAAGUAUGGCUUAGUUAUUUAUCAAGUAAGCCUCUAAGUCCUCUUCAUGGUGCCCAAAUAGGCUUUUCCAAGAAAUUUAAGGAAUAUAUGCAUAAUAGUUGCUCAAACAGUAGACCCUGCACUUAUCCUUCGGCACCGAUCAAAACAUGGUCUAGCUCUCUGUCUUUGCCAACCAUGUGUAUUGCUUUAGCUGCCCAUUGACAUUGACCUAAAACCUCAUUAAAAAUGGUUCGACAUUAUUGUCUAACGAUCUUUCUGUGUACCCAAAUGACAUAGUCGGCAAGUAUAGGUCAAAGAAAUGGAAGUUGUAAAUGUAAGGGAUUGUCAUUUGUGGGACAUCGACGAAAGCUUUCUCGGUGAUUUAUCCUUAAAGAGAAAAGCCAUGGUGAUGGAUCAAACGAACUCUUCCUUGAAGUUAAAGGUUGUUAGGCGAUUAAGUUCAUACCCGACAACCACGUAUCCAUCAAAUAAUCGAAGCUUUCCAUUUGAGGAAUACAAAACGAGAUUCACAGUCUCUAAAAGAACGAACCUUUUUGCUUUUUCACUGUUGUUGCUUUGCCAAACGGUUGACUCUGACGAUUCCUUCACCACCAAUUGCCCUGUUCCGGUGAUUUCCAGUGAAGAUCCGAUGAUAUUUUUUUUAUGUGUUUUUCACAAUUCGCAACCAAAACCCAAGUUUGUGAAAAGAAAGAGGUAAAACCUAUAUUACGUUGAUUGAUGACUGUGCUUUUUGUUAGUGAUUAACGGAAUUUUUAAUGGGAGGAUUACUUUGCACAAUUAUCUUAAUUAGAGUGAUUAAAUUAAGAAAAAAAUUUAAGUGACUAAAAUCGAACAAAUCCUAUUUUAGAGUGACCAUGAGUAUAAUAUUUAAUUUUAACAAUCAAAUGAAUUUGGAUCAUAAGCUUCGUGGGUUGUUUUCAAGUUUUGGUUUAAUGGAUCGAAAAAUCAGCUCAGCCUUUGAGCUAACCCACGACGUUAGCGAUCUAUUCAUUUUCUAAUUGUAAGCCUAUAUUUUUGUUGAAUUGACCCUUCUUUAAAGCACCUGAAUUUCAGCUCAGACACCACAGUCAUUGUAUGAAAUCAUCAAUUAUGACCUAUGGGUUAUGUUCACUGAUUGGCGACAUUUGGGCCAUUCGGCUGUAGAUUUUGGUUGGGGAGGUCCCAUGACAGUGUUGCCACUUUCAACCAAUUUCCUUGGGAGUAUGGAGCCAUGCUUUUUCCUGCCUUAUGCUUCAUCGAAUACAGGGAAGAAUAAAGGAUUUAAAGUGUUGGUGAGCUUGCGUGAGAGUGCCAUAGCUGAUUUUAGAGAAGAGAUGGAGAAAUUUAGUAGGAAAGAAUUUAGUAAACUUUGAGCUGUUUCCAGAUAUCUGAAUCCUGCUAGCAGAGCUGUCUUGUUGCUAAUUUGGCUAAUAAUAAUAAUAAUAAUAAUUUGUUCUUGUUCUAAUUGUAUGAAGGAAGAGUAAAACAAAGGGAAGAUUGACAUGAAUGAACAGUCUCGUUUAUAAUUUAUGAUGGACUAUUUACUUUUCGAGUUGCCAUUGAUGCACAAGUUACGUUGACUAAAUUUUUUCUAUGAUGCGUAGUUAGAUUAUUUGUCCACAAGUCCAGGAAACUUGAACUUGGGACUCUGUUCCAGGAAAGCAGGUGGUCGCUGGUAGACAACUGAAGCAGCUCUUAUCAAAAUACCUGCAGUUAAACCCCAUAUCAAAUACCUCUUAUUCUCGAUUUCAUAGUCGAAGAAGUGAAGAAGAUACUUUUCUCCCAUCCAUUCUCUCUCUUCUGCGCUUCGAUUUUCAUCCUGAACCCAGCAAUUCAUUCAUACAACGGAUUAAAAAAGAGAGUAAAACAAGUAUGUGAGUAGGAGUUGGAAGAGACAAACCUUAAUGAACAUUUCCAGUGGAGCAUCGAAUACUGCAUCCACUUCAGCAGGAUUCGGAGUAGGCUUGAAUGCCUUUCUGUCAUUAAGUACACCGAUAACAGGAACUACUCUUAGGAGAUGCUGCAUGGAAAACCAAUAAGUUUUAAACAAGCUGAAAGCCAAUACAGUAUUCGGCACGAAUUUCAGCUAUACUGUGUACCUUGCUAUGCACUGUAAGCCAAAAGAUUGAGAAAGGUACAUUACAUUAUAUUUUAUAACCAAAAUAUCUAAACACAACUCAUCAUUCUAACAUUUCCAUCACAAGGUCCAUGUCCUGUUGAUAGUUGUCAGAUCAAACUUCAAGAUUAUAUCAAUAUUGAUUUUCAAACAAAAAGUACCCAAUUCUAGUAUUCUCCAUAUAGAACUUGUUCAUUAAUCCAUCUUAACAUAUAUAUAUAAUAUAUAUAUAAACCAUGUCCAUAUAGUUUUUAAUGACAUUUUAAAUAACAAUGGGGACAAUUAAACAAGCUGAAACAUGUUCAACAUUUUAUAUUGAAACACUCAUGUGUAAAAAAAGGAGGAUCUUUGGAUCAAUAGCACGCAGUACUCACCAUAUUAUUCAUCUACAUAGCAAGUAACUAGCAUUAUACAUAGACAUAACAGUCCACAUCAACAAACAUACAUGUACAAUUGUCUAUUUUAAGGUAAAACAAAGUAUAUAUGCUUAAAGAUUAUUAGUCCAAUCCAAGGACCACAAAAGUCAUUUCUCAGUCAACUGGUUCAUGUAGAAGAAUUCAGAUUAUUUCAUAUCAUUCACAGAAAGAACCAGCAACAGUCAAUCUCACAUUUCGAUAGCACCUUAUAGGAUUAUACAACUUAGGUUGGAAGAGCAAUUUCAAUUACUUGAUAAUGAGAAGAGCUAUUAAAUAACCAUGAUAGAAAUCAUGCUUGGAUCAGGUAGGUAGCUCAUAUAAACUAAAUCACACCUUUCGUUAUUCCAGUGUACCAGCUUUCACUCUCUUCUAAGGGUUUUCUUUUUGUUUUCUUUCUGUAAAGUUUAUAGCAUUAGUACCAGUUAUCCCCAUCUUGUGUCACCCCUUGCAAAACACAGCCAUGAGUUUCACAUUUUUACAGAUAGAGAAGGUCUCCGAAGGGAAACUCAGAGAAUUUUAGAGUAGGCAUAGACAAACAGAUUAUCCAUUCAUGAUGCCAAGUGAUAAAUUUGCUGUACACCUAACAGUUAUCUCACAUUACAUAGACUCUUCUUUGCUUUUGUGCUAAGUUUUUGAUAUCAAGUUUAAAACAUAGACGCCCACAAUACCCUCCAACAAGAAAUUAAUUCUAAACUUCCAACAAUAUUACUAUAGAUAUAUAGAAUAGAAAAUGUCACAAUCAUCCAAAUGAGAACUGAACUGAUUCAAAACAGACUAAUGCAAUUUACCAUGUAUAUGAAUGGUUAAUGAAGAUACUAAAAAAGCCUGAUGUUAUGUUGGGAACAUGAUUUUGAAAAUUUCUAUUUGGAUUUCAUUUGCUAAAUAAAUCGUAAAAAUGAAAUGCAUACAUUAUGAAUAAAUUAGUUGGGUUCAAUCUAAUAUAUAUUCAGAAAAUAUAAAAAGCAUAAAUAUAUUGAAUUCCUAAAUUCCUCAGGAAAUUCCAAUUCACUAUUAAAUGCACAUCCAACAAAUCCAUGGAUAUGAGAAUCAUUAAUGCAACAUUUCUAUAUGUUAUCACUUAAUUUACAGUAUUUUUGAAAUCCAAGUUCCAAAAUGCUACCUAAAAGAAAAUUUUUGAAAUCGAAGCGCAGAAGAGAGAGAAUGGAUGGGAGAAAAGUAUCUUCUUCACUUCUUCGACUAUGAAAUCGAGAAUAAGAGGUAUUUAAUAUGGGGUUUAACUGCUGGUAUUUUGAUAAGAGCUGCUUCAGUUGUCUACCAGCGACCACCUGCUUUCCUGGAACAGAGUCCCAAGUUCAAGUUUCCUGGACUUGUGGACAAAUAAUCAAACUACGCAUCAUAGAAAAAAUUUAGUCAACGUAACUUGUGCAUCAAUGGCAACUCGAAAAGUAAAUAGUCCAUCAUAAAUUAUAAACGAGACUGUUCAUUCAUGUCAAUCUUCCCUUUGUUUUACUGUUCCUUCACACAAUUAGAACAAGAACAAAUUAUUAUUAUUAUUAUUAUUAUUAGCCAAAUUAGCAACAAGACAGCUCUACUAGCAGGAUUCAGAUAUCUGGAAACAGCUCAAAGUUUACUAAAUUCUUUCCUACUAAAUUUCUCCAUCUCUUCUCUAAAAUCAGCUAUGGCACUCUCACGCAAGCUCACCAACACUUUAAAUCCUUUAUUCUUCCCUGUAUUUGAUGAAGCAUAAGGCAGGAAAAAGCAUGGCUCCAUACUCCCAAGGAAAUUGGUUGAAAGUGGCAACACUGUCAUGGGACCUCCCCAACCAAAAUCUACAGCCGAAUGGCCCAAAUGUCGCCAAUCGGUGAACCCACUCACCCCUUUCCCAGCCGUGAUGCCGUCUUCAUAGUGCAGUUCUUGUAAGUCAAUGAAAGAACGCACGUACUCGUCACUGGCAUUGCUUUUGCUCUUCUUGAUCAACUCUGCCGUUUUCCACAAAGGUUGCUCGAUUAGGUCCUUGGCACUGACCUUGGCGUACAUUGCAACGCAGCCGUUGCCCCAGUAGCCUGCAGGCAAUGCUGGCUUUACCACUUUGCGGAUGUUCAUCAAAUAUGAAAACUUCACCGUCUCCUCGCCUGGAAUCUUUGAGGCUUUCACCCUGUUUAUAUCAACAAUGAAGACCAGGUCAAAAACACUUCCAUUGCUUACACAUUAUGUGAAUUUAAUUACACCAAACUUUUUUUAACUUACUUGGCUCGCCAAAUAUAUGCACCUAAGAUUUCAAAAGUGGUUAAACCCAGACCACUUUGUUCAAAAAGCAAAGCCUUGAGCUGGUCCAAGCAUUCAUCUUCCACAUAAAAGCACUCCCUUUCAACAUGUCCGAUAUCCUGUUUGUAAGGAUUAAAACCUUUCUCCAAGCUUAGGAACUCAGGAACUGGGGCUUCAACUUUCGGUGGGUUUCUUGGACCCAACAGAGUGGAUCGAUCCCAAACCGGCUGAUAUUUUACUUUGUCCACCCCACGUGCGAUAUCAGCUGCCAUACAGAAAAACUGGGUCGCACCAAGCCCAUCGCAUAAAGCAUUGUGUAUAGCCGCCCCAAGAGUAAACCCACCACAUUUGAACACCGUUAGCUGUAAAGUACAGGGGUUGACCAACGUGUCUUCCGGGCUUGGGUCGGGAACCAGUUGUUCAGCCGAAUUCAUAUCAGGGUCAUCAAGGUGAUUUACAGACUCCAAUGUGCAGUCCACGCUGGCACUGACGAGCGGUAGGCUUUGAUCCAACUCACAGAAAAGCUCAUACCUACCGUUGCUGGAACGGCGGAGAGAUCCAGCCAGAGGAUAAUAGUGGUGGAGAGCGGCGGAGAUGGCGGAGGAGAUGACCUGGAAAGGGUCACGACCUGUGGUGUCGCUGUUGACGUAAGCUCGCAGGUAACGGAAGGUGACGUUGAGGGAGUGGUCAUUAUCUAGGUGAGAGAGGGGGAGGGUGUGAUCGUGGGUGAAAGGUGCGGUGGAGGGGCGGAUGAGAGUAGUUUCUAAGACUUGGACCUUCAUAUUUUUUGGGUUUGUUAGGGGGAAUUCCAGGGUUGGUGUUUAAAAGGGUGAGGGUUCGUCAAAAAUGGUUGGUGUUGACUAGUGAAAUUGAAGGCUUUGCCUCAAGGCUAAACAAACCUUUGCCUUUUAACAAAUAAUGCCUAAAAAUCAUCCCGGUUCAGUGUCCCUUCUUUGGAUAUUGACUAGUGGUGAACUGCCGUUAUUGUCGUUAUAGGAGUCACAAAGAAACAACAAGUGGUGGCUAGGUCUACUGCUGAGGCUGAAUAUAGGAGUUUUGCUACGGUUACAAGUGAGGUUACAUGGUUAUUGUCGUUACUUCAAGAAUUACAAGUUAAGUCGGUUGAUACGUCAAAUAUUUGGUGUGAUAGUUAUGGUGCUGUUGCGGUUACUGCUAAUCCUGUUCUACAUUCAAAGUUCAAGCAUGUUGAAUUAGAUUUGUUUUUUGUUCGUGAGAAGGUUGCUAGUGGUUCUAUUGUGGUUGGUGAGGUUCCAGCUUGUGAUCAAGUUGUUGAUAUUCUUACUAAACCUCUGUCUGUAUCGAUUUUUACUCGUUUUCAACAUUUUCUUCGGGUUUUGCCUGUUGAGGAGAUGGAUGCAUAUUAGUAUACCUUAAGAUACUGUUAGAUGGUUAGGCUGCUGUCAAUUUAGUUGCGUGUUUGUUAGUGAGUAGUUGGUCAUUGAGGUUGUAUAUAUUGGCUUCUUUGGAAGUUCAGAAAACAGAUUGGAAAAUAUAGAAAUAUUUCUUUAAGUUUGUUCUUUGUUUUUGUUUCUUUACCUUAUUCUUUCAUAUCGAUACUCUUUUUUUUAGGCAAUCACUAUAAGGAUGUCCAAUUUAAUUGCAACAGAAGCAUUUUUCCUAUGGUUGGCUUGGCAUAUAAAUUUGUUUGUGUGCUUUUAGGUACCCUGCAUUAGCUUUUUGUUGUCUUUUUUAUCACCGACAUGUUUCUCUACUUGUUUUUGUGCAUUAUAGAUGGAUAUAUUCUUGUAUGUCACCAUUUGUGCAUAUUGGAGGUGAUUUUUCUUAGUCAAAUUUGCCUUCUACUCUUGCACCAUCAUUAUUGCCUUUAACACCAUAUUUCGUGCUCCAACAAUGUUUGCCAACAUUUGCACAACAAUAUUGUCUUGCGUUACAGGCCUUAGCCUAUUAAGGUAUUUGUAUACCUAUUGCCUAUUGGACUCCUUCAGAUGUGUUUUUGCAAGCUUCAUGAACUCCAUAGUGUAGUUGUGCAAUUGAUAUUGCAAGAAUAAAUAUUGCUCAUAAUUCAUGUAUAAAAAUGGAGCCUUGAGCAAUUGCUUCAUUUUGCACCAUGUUCGCUCCAUAUGCUACUAAUCUUGCCAUUAAUAUUACAGGAAUAGAUAUUGCUCAUAAUUCAUGGAUAAAAAUCUAGUAUCUUAUAAAUAUUCUCACCAAGCUAAGGCUACUCCCUUUAAUCCGUAUGCUACUAAUCUCACCCUUCUCUCCUAAGAAUCUUCAUAUAGUAAAAAAAAUCCAUCUACUUCUAUAAGUUAGCCCAUAAAACCCUCUAUAUUCAAAUUACCAUCAACCUUAGGAAAAUCUACCUUUAGGCGAAACACAUCAUCUCGAGCAUACCAUUGGGCAAGUUUCCUCACCCUAUGUUAACCAUGUCGAUAUCCUUCUUCAUCCUCUGAAUCUUGCACAUUAGCUUGUUGUUGAAAUUAAGGGUGAGAGUUCAAUCGGAUCGAGUAAAAAAAUUUUGAGUUAAUCGAGUUGACGAGUCCUAUUUUAUCAAAUCCUAACUCAAUUUAAAAUUUUUUCGAAUCGAGUCAAGUCGAAUUCAGUGAAAUUGUUCCGAGCUAAAUUAAAAAAUUAAACCUGCUGAUACGAGUCACAAAAGCCCAAACUCUUGAGGGCAAGGCCCAAUAAGAAGAUUCCAAGCCCAAUCAAGAAAUCCACCCAUACUUAGUUGAAAAUCAGGCCAAAUUGUCAAAGUGGCCCAAGUUGUAAAGUUUUAUUUUUAUUUAUUUAUUUAUUUAUUUUACUUAGUUUAAAUUUUUAUAUUCAGUCCAAGAGUCCCAAAUAAAAGACCCUUGGCCGAAUUUCCAUAUUAAAAUAAUUAGGAGUUUUUUUUUAGUUUUAGUUUUAGUGUUCUAAUUAAAUUAGGAAAACAUUUGAAAGGCCUAUUUAUAUGGCUUGGCCAGCCACCCUACAUUACAUUACAAUUACAUUGAAAAUUUCAGAUUUGAUUUGAGUGAAAAUUCUCUUUGAGUUCUUCAAGGAUUUUCUCUUGAGUUUUCUUUAGAAGUUGUUUUAACAAUCUUUUUGAUUGUGGGAGCCAUCUUCAACCUUCUUCUUGCCAUUGAUAUUCUUUGGAGGGGAGAUUAGAGCCGUUUGAAGGGAGUUGUGAGAUCUUUCGGGAUUUCAAGGCUUCUUAGGACUUAUCUUUUAAUUUCUUACUGUCAAUUCUUUCUUUAUUUCUGCUUGUGCCGAAUCUUUAUCUAAUUUAUUUUCUGUUCUUAUUGUGUUUUCAGCCUUUUUUUAUCUUAAGGAAUUAGCCCAAAAAUCCCCAAUUUCUAGGGUUCUAGCCGAUUCAUCCAUACUCUUUUUUGGGAGAAAUUAGAUUGCUGAAAUUUGGGGAAAACUAUCUGGGUGUUCAAUUGGGCAGAAUCGCAAUCUCUUCUAGGGUUUCAAGAUUCCUUAUUAACACUUAUUUCUAUUCUCUAUUUGAUUCUUUACUGUUUUGGGGAUUUUAUUUCAGAUCUGAAAAUUCAAAAAUCUAAUCUUUUAAUUUUCUGUUUCGUUUCAGAUCUAAUUGUUUAGGGUUUUCGUAGGAGUUUCUCGUGACUUGGCAACUCGAUCUUGGUCCGCGCGCAACCCCGUAUCAUUUGGUAUCAGAUUUUGGGCAUUUUGGGUGUUCUUGGUUGAUUUCUAAACUGAUCUCUAUUUUUUAAAUUACAAACAUCAGUUUUACCCAGAAAAAUUUUCGAAAAAAAAUUCAUUUGAGUGGGUAAACGUUUUCUGAUUGAUCUGAAAUUUUACAUACAUAUUUUUGGCACUGUUAUUGAAUAUACAAAAAUAUUUCCCGCAAAAAAAAUAAGUCGAAAAAGUCAAAAAAUUGAAAAAAGACGAAAUCCAAUAAAAAAUUAAAAAAAUAUUCAGCGAGUUGAAUUUGGUGCCCAAAUUUUCCAGAUCAAAAAUUCAAUAUUUGAAGACAUUCCAGAUUUAAUUUUGUGAUUUUUUGAGAUCGGGAACACCUCGAACGAAGUUGUCAAGUUACUCCGCAGUUUUUCGGGUUUUCUGUUUUCAACAAUUUUUAUUGAUUCUUAGCUGUAGGUUUUCAUUUGUUUGCUUUUUAUUCUCCCUUUACAAUAUCUAACACCUUCUUGUUUUUUGUGUUAGUAGGAUUUAAACGUGUGCCCAAUUCUUCCUCGGUGCAACACGAAUCAAUUGGUGUCUCGUCAGUUUUUGGCAUCCUAGUGCAAAUUAGGAUUCUUUGGUAGUUUGGUUCACACUCUCUAAUUGGUUGAUAUAAACUCUGAUAAAGAACUCACAAGAUUGAAUUCGACCUCAUUGAGAAUUUGAUUUUUCUUUUUGAGUGAUUAAUGGUGAGGUUUGCUAACUUUUAUUUUUGAGUGUUGAGUGUUUAUUUUUUACAGGUUUUGAAGAUGUCUAAAGGUGAUAAUAAUGAUGCACUUAUGAAAGUCCAACAACAGUUAGAUAGACAUACUGCUACAAUCACACAAAUAAAUGCUACACUUCAAGCAUUGAAUACUACUUUGAAUGAGGUACGAGUGAAUCAAAAACAUCAAUAUCGAGAUCCAAUUAAGGAAGAUAGGGAUAACCAGCCCCAUAGGUGCAACCCUCAACAUGUCCCUAGAAUGGAUGAUGAUUGUCAUGAUCAUGGACAAUCAUCUUUGGCAAAACCAAAGAGCGAGCAGCAACGAGAACAUCUCUUUCAUACUCGCUGCCACGUACAAGGUAAGCUUUGUAGAGUUAUUAUUGAUGGUGAAAGUUGCUCGAACAUAGCCAGCACGACGAUGGUGGAAAAGCUUUGCUUAACCACUACCAAGCAUCCACAACCUUAUCAACUACAAGGGCUUAGCAACGAAGGCCAAUUUAGGGUCACUCAACAAGUGCGCAUCGCCUUUUCUAUCGGUAAGUAUCAAGACGAAGUUGUGUGCGACGUAAUGCCUAUUCAAGCCUGCCAUUUGUUGCUAGGAGAACCGUGGCAACUGGAUCGAAAAGUCACUCACGAUGGUCGUACCAAUAGGUAUUCUUUCAAGCAUCAAGGAAAGAAACUCACCUUAGUGCCACUCACUCUAGAACAAGUCCAUGAGGACCAAAUCAAACUGAAAAAUUCUGUUAAAACAAGUGAGGAAAAAGAAAAAGAGAAUGAAAAAGAGCAAAAAGAGAUUGAGAGUGAAAAAGAAAUUGAAGAAAGAAGAGAAAAUGAAUUAGAAAAAGAAACAAAAGAAAAAGACGUGGAAAGGGUAGUGAGGAAUGUUUCCACUAACCAAGAUAUGAAUUUUUCUUGUGUUGCUACUUUUCAGGUUCCCGAAAGAUCGAAAGAUAACUUUCAACUUCAAUACCUCUCAAAUGAAAGACGCUUUCAUACGAUCAACUUAAGCAAAGAUGAAAUCACACUACAUGAUCCCGAAGGUAAGCGAGGUAAGGAAAUUUUAGAAACCGAGUCCAGUGCAGAUUUGAAAAUUAUUGAUAAAACUUUUGGUGACUUAGUUCUUAAAAGAUCCCCUCAUUUUGAUCCGAUUAAUUGUUACUCUUCGAUUGUGGUUGAUAAAGUCAUUACGAAAAGAAGCGUGAUUUGUUAUUCUCUUGAUUUACCUUGUGUAAAAUCCUUGAAUUUGUCCAAAUCUGUUUUGGAGAAUAAGGUAACGAAAUUUUCCAAAUUUGUUUUCAAUUUAUAUUCGUGCCUUAAACAGUUUAUGUGGUUGUACAUGAAGUUUGAGUUCCAUUUGACAAACGUUAACUCAACAACGAAGAUUCGACUACACUAUGCCCCCGAUGAGCGAAGGUUUGUUUUAAAUGAAAAAGGUAAAAUCGACCCUUAUUCUUCUGCUUAUCGAGGUAAGAUGCUUGAAACCUUUGAAACACUUUUGUACUCCUCGGAUAGUGAUAAAGAUCGUGUUGAUGAACACUUAGAUCGAAACGUGCUUGACUGUCCUAUUUUAUUUAUUGAUGAUUUAUCUGUUUUGAUAGUUGAUAAAAAGAUUCUUGUUUUUGAUAAUGCAUGUGUGAGUGAAUCUAUAGACCGUCGAUUAAUGCAUGGUAUGAUUAUGCAACUCUGUGAACCAUGUGAAUCUUUUCAAAUACCUACUUGUGACGAUUAUGUUUACCAUUUGAUUUAUUACUCGCAAUUUAUUCAUGGUUUGUGGGAACAAUGUGAGACGACUGAAUGCCUUAAAACAUGUCCAUCUUUGUUUCAAAUAUUUGACGAGGCAGUGGUGAGUAAAUUAGAUUGUUUGCAUGGUAAUCUGAAUCUGUCCAUUCACAUACGUUAUACCUGUUCUAUUAUGCUUAUGAUUGGACUACAAGCUUAUUUCCGUUGCUAUUUACUAUCUCAUGGCUAUUCUUCUCAGUGGACUCAAUUGCCAUUAGUCCCGUUCGAUAGAGGAAAGUCGAGUUCAUUUGAUUUUUUAGAUUCGAGGACGAAUCUUUUUGAGGAAGGGGGGAAUGAUACGAGUCACAAAAGCCCAAAUUCUUGAGGGCAAGGCCCAAUAAGAAGAUUCCAAGCCCAAUCAAGAAAUCCACCCAUACUUAGUUGAAAAUCAGGCCAAAUUGUCAAAGUGGCCCAAGUUGUAAAGUUUUAUUUUUAUUUAUUUAUUUAUUUUACUUAGUUUAAAUUUUUAUAUUCAGUCCAAGAGUCCCAAAUAAAAGACCCUUGGCCGAAUUUCCAUAUUAAAAUAAUUAGGAGUUUUUUUUUAGUUUUAGUUUUAGUAUUCUAAUUAAAUUAGGAAAACAUUUGAAAGGCCUAUUUAUAUGGCUUGGCCAGCCACCCUACAUUACAUUACAAUUACAUUGAAAAUUUCAGAUUUGAUUUGAGUGAAAAUUCUCUUUGAGUUCUUCAAGGAUUUUCUCUUGAGUUUUCUUUAGAAGUUGUUUUAACAAUCUUUUUGAUUGUGGGAGCCAUCUUCAACCUUCUUCUUGCCAUUGAUAUUCUUUGGAGGGGAGAUUAGAGCCGUUUGAAGGGAGUUGUGAGAUCUUUCGGGAUUUCAAGGCUUCUUAGGACUUAUCUUUUAAUUUCUUACUGUCAAUUCUUUCUUUAUUUCUGCUUGUGCCGAAUCUUUAUCUAAUUUAUUUUCUGUUCUUAUUGUGUUUUCAGCCUUUUUCUAUCUUAAGGAAUUAGCCCAAAAAUCCCCAAUUUCUAGGGUUCUUGCCGAUUCAUCCAUACUCUUUUUUGGGAGAAAUUAGAUUGCUGAAAUUUGGGGAAAACUAUCUGGGUGUUCAAUUGGGCAGAAUCGCAAUCUCUUCUAGGGUUUCAAGAUUCCUUAUUAACACUUAUUUCUAUUCUCUAUUUGAUUCUUUACUGUUUUGGGGAUUUUAUUUCAGAUCUGAAAAUUCAAAAAUCUAAUCUUUUAAUUUUCUGUUUCGUUUCAGAUCUAAUUGUUUAGGGUUUUCGUAAGAGUUUCCCGUGACUUGGCAACUCGAUCUUGGUCCGCGCGCAACCCCGUAUCACCUGCCAAAUUAAAAUUUGGUUACAGUAUAAGUAAUUUCAUAUUAGAGCAAAUAAAUUUGAAACCAUAUAUAUUUAAAAGGUUUUUUUUCAAAGCAAAAAAAGAAGAAGAUACUUUAGUAUGAUACACAUGAAUCAUUAUUUAACUUAUUUAGCUCCCAAAAUUAUUAUUUUAGAAAAAAUUUAAAUUUUUAACUUUCGUUAUAUAUUAUUUAGAAUUUUUAUAAAAACUUAUUAUUAUAUAAGAAUAAUAUAAAUGGUAUUUUUUAUAUUAAAAUCUAAUAUUUAUAUAAAUUCAUUAUCAUAGAUAAUUUUUCAUUAUUAUUUAAUAUAAAAUGAUUUUAAUAUAUUUUAAUAUUUAAAAUAAAUAUAUAAAAAUUGUAUAUUAAUUUAUUUUUUUAUUAUAUAAAAUAUAAAAUUUUGAGUUUUAUAAUAAUUUAAUAAUAUAUAAUGUUUAUAAUAUUAAAAAUUAUAUGAAUUUAAUUAUAGAUAAGUAUCUAUAAAUAAUAAAAAAAUAAAUACAAAUAUAAUUAAUGAAAAUCUAAUUAUUUAUUAGUAAAAUUAUUCUUUAAGAUAAAUACAAAUUUAAUAUAUUUUAUUAUUUAACAUAUUAUUAAAUUAUUUUAUACUUUCACCUCACGGCUACAGAUGCUUUUGAAUUUAAACACAUAUUUCGUCAUUGAUUUUAAUCAUAUUACUACAAUAUUCAAUCUUAUUGCUACAAUUAUUAAUCUCACUGACAUUACUGUUAUUAACCUCAUCAAAAGUGAACACAGUCCCAUGGAAAGAAAGCCUUAAUAUAGCUUAUUUCCAUUGGUUAGCAUAAUACAAAACUGAACCAUAGCCUCACCAGAUUUCCUUCAUUAAAACUUUGAAGUAAGACAAAAGAAAGCCGAUUGGGGAAUUAGCAACACAUUUCCUAUUUUGAAUACUAUUGAAGUUUUAGGGUUUCAUUUAUAAGCAAGUUGGGUAAAGAAAAUGGCUUUUCUUCUUGCAACCGUUCUUUGAAUGUUACCUAAAAGUGUUGUUAUAAAUAAUACAUAAUUGAUUUGAUAACUCCACAAAUGAUUGAAUUUCUUGUAUUUGUUUAUGAACAUAGUGUGUGUUUAUAUAUAACAUCAUUUUCAGUAUAAUUCAGUGUAUAUCUAUGUUAAAUAAUUAGCUUAGACAAGGUGUUCAAUUUCAAUCAAAGUCCUUGACUUAAACAUGCUCAUUGUUUAAUAGAUAAAUUAUAUUUAUGGUGAUUUUAAACAUGCUCAUUGUUCAAUUAUAUUUAGCCGCAACAGAAGCCGCUAAAGACAACGCCGCUAAAGGUGUUGGUCUAUAGUGGCGCUUCUCUAAAAAACGCCGCUGAAGACAAAGACCUUUAGCGGCGCUUCCACUAAAGCGCCGCUAAAGAUCAGGGUCUUUAGCAGCGUUUUUGUGGGAAACGCCGCUAAAGAUUGGGGUCUUUAGCGGCGCUCUUACUACAAACGCUGCAAUAGACCCUGAGCUAUAGCGGCGCUUUUUCUAAAAACGCCGCAAUAGACACCGAUCUAUAGCGGCGCUUUUACAAAAAACGCCGCCGUAGACCCUGAUCUAUAACGGCGCUUCGGAUAAAAACGCCGGUAAAUAACCUUCUUUUUAGCGGCGCUUUUACCAAAAACGCCACUAAAGGCCAACACCUUUAGUGGCGUUUUUUUUAAAAACGCCACUAAAUUUGGCAGAUUUGUAAAAUAAAUUUUUUUAUAUUUUCAGCCCUCCUGUAAAAACAAAUCAGAAGAAAUCAUAUCUAAACCAGCCAAAAGUAAUAAAUUUAUAGAUUAAACAAAUAAUAUAAUAAAUAUCAAUAAAUAAAAUAAAAUUCGUAUUAUUCUUACAAAAAAGUUAAAAGUUAAAAUGAUAAUUAAAAGUCAAAAUUGAAGUAUAUUUACACGAUAGUCUAGGACGGCGGCUGUUGCGACUGCUAAAACAUCUUCAUCAUACUCUGAAGCUGCUGCUGGAGUUCAUCGAACUUUUGACGUUGCUCUUCUUCCCUCGCUGCAGCCUCUACUUGCCUCGCUACAGCCUCUGCUUCCCUCGCUGCAGCCUGUACUUCUAUCGCUGCCGCCUCUACUUCUCUUACUGCCGCAUUUGCUCUAAGCUGUUGCUGGAGUUCUUCAUACUUUCGUUGAACCUCAGCUUCUCUCGCUGCUGCAUCUGCUCUAAGCUACUGCUGGAGUUCUUCAUAUCUUUUUUGAACCUCAACUUCUCUCGAUGUUGCCUCCGCUUUAAGUUGUGUAAUUUGCUCACUUGUUCUCUCUUGCAUCUGAGCCAUCUGGUCUCUUAACCUCUGAACUUCAGCUUCAGCUCGACUCCCCAACGGCAUAUAUUGUUGCGAGCUAGAUCCAAAAUAUUGGGAUGGGUUAACAAAAGAUCCUUGAAAUCGAACUCGACCAUACCUUUCAGGACCCAAAACUUCAGUGAUAAUCCGAUUAUCAAUGUCGUCAAUAUGAACAGAACUAUCACUGGAAUCAAUCGCUUCAUACUCCGCCUUUUUAUCCUUUAAUUUUUCCUAAAAAAUAAAUCACAUAGUUAGGAACGCAAUAUAUAUUAAAAAACCCAAUGCAACAUAACUUAACAAUAUUUGUAUUACAAUAAAUGAAAUAAAUCAUUUAUUAAUAAAUACUAUAAAUAAUUAAAACAAGUGAAAUUGUAUGAAGCAAACGUACCAUAAUUUCUGCAGCUUCAGGAGUCAUAGGGUUUCCAUCUUUCUUCCUAUGUGUUAUGUCAAAAAGUUGAAGGCGGCCAACUUUUUGACCGGACGACAGUUCCUACAAUACAAUAGUAAAAAUAUUAAUUGAUAGAAAGUAAUAAAUAUCUGCCAAUAUUAAAAAAUUCAAAAUACCUCUGCAUGAGCUACACACGCAAAACUUUUUGACCCAGCUGUGUGAGUGAAUUUUUAUUGCUCCCUACUUUUUUUUUCAACUUGUUCACGAUCCUACAUUAUGAAAUUAUUAGUACGUUAAUUAGAAAACACUAUACACCAAAAUAAGUACAAAAUUUUAUAAGUUAUACAUACCUCUCCUUUCUUCGAAGUCCAAAAUCUAACAACCUCUUCCCACUGGUACCUCAACAUUCCCGGCGGGACAUUUUGUAAUCUCUCGUCAAGUGUUGUUUUUGUCUUGAAAUAGUCUUUUUUUAAAGUGCUCUUAUGGUCUCUCCAUCUUUUUCCCAAUGCCUUCUUUAUAUAAGCAUCGGAGACCUCUAGAGCAAAUCUCGCCUACAAAAAACACAACUUAAGAAAGUAAAUGUAAACGAAACUUAAACCCAAGUAUUAUAAAUGACAUACACGUUUUGUUACCUUAAUCAAAUCGAGAGCUUGGUUCUUGUUACUCUCGGGCACUUUAUGCCAUGACUCGAAGUUAAUUGGCAACAUAUUUGCAUUCCGUGCUAAAAUGCCCAUGUAUCCUGCUAAAAGGCGAGCUUCUGAUCCAACAGGCUGACCAAAGCUAUUACUGGAUACUUGGACACGCUCGACUGGAUCUAGAUCGUAUAAAUCGCUCAGUACUGUACGUCCGCGAACUCUCCGAGUCCCACCAGUUUCAUCUGAAAAAUAAAAGUAUUGUAAUAUACGAAAUUUAAAAAAAAAAAACAAGAAGUCAACACACAUGUAAAUUAAAUGUUAAAUUACUUUGAACUUCUAUAGGUUCCUCAGGUGUAACCGGAACAUUCGAAGAUCCAAUAGCAAUCUGUUGUUCAGUGCUAUUUGUUUCCGCCGAGUUUGGAGUACCUUGAACAAUGCGGUGCGAUCACACUUUUCUUCUAGGCAUUUUAUCUGCAAUACAAAUAAAUUAGUGUGAAAAACUUAGUAUACAAUUACAAUAAUAAUAUCACAUAUAAAAUAGUUUAAAUAUCAUCAUUCGUAAUUUAAGUAAGUUAUGUAUAAUAUUAAUUAACUUAUGUAAUUUAAGUAUAAUAUUAAUGUAAGUUAUGUAAUUAAUGUAUAAUAUUAAUUAAUUAAGUCAUGUAAUUUAUGUAUAAUAUUAAUGCAAGUUCUGUAAUAUAUGUAUAAUAUUAAUUAAUUAAGUUAUGUAAUUUAUGUAUAAUAUUAAAUAAUCAAGUUAUGUAUAAUAUUAAUUUUUUUAUACAUUUUUUUGAACAAAUUUAAGUGCCAAAUAUAUAUAUUCCACUACUUUUUCCCCCUAAAUCCUAGGUUUAAGGCUUGUUGGGUUGCAAAUGUAAGCCUAAUUCAUUUUUAAUGAACCCUAUUAACCAAAUUCGACUUUGAUUUUUCUUAAUGACUUAUUAGAGAAAAAACACUACACCAAAACAGGCUUUUAGCGGCGCUUUUUUUGGCCUUUAGCAGCGCCGCCAAAAAUGCCGCUAAUGACAACGUCGCUAACUUUAGCGGCGCUUUUACCACAAAUGCCGCUAAAGACCAAGAUCUUUAGCGGCGCUUUUCCUACAAAUGCCACUAAAGACCAAGAUCUUUAACGACGCUUCUCCUACAAACGCCGCUAAAAAUUAUGACCUUUAACGGCGCUUCUCCUACAAUCGCCGCUAAAGACCAUGACCUUUAGCGGCGCUUCUCCUACAAACGCCGCUAAAGACCAUGACCUUUAGCGGCACUUUUCCUACAAACGCCGCUAAAGACCAUGACCUUUAGCGGCAUUUUCCUACAAACGCCGCUAAAGACCAUGACCUUUAGCGGCACUUUUCCCUCAAACGCCGCUAUAGAAUAGACCUUUAGCAACGCUUUUGACACAGACGCCGCUAAAAAUAUCUUUUAAAAAAAUAAUUUUUUUUAAAUAAUAUUUAUUUCUAUAAUAAAUAUUAUAUUAUGUUUUAAGGAUAAAUAAAAAAUAUUAUUUAAAUUAAAUUUUCUACAAAAAUUUUAACUUUAAAACUAAAUAUAAAAAUAAAAAUUAAUGAAUUUAAAUUUAGAAUUUAUAAUAAUAAAUUAAUAACACAAUUAAAAUCUAAAAGUUAGAAAACUUAAGUAAAAAUAAAAAUUUAAAAUCAAAACUAAAAUAAAUAAUACAUAUGCAAGGUAAUUAAAUAUACAAUGCAUUUUCUUAAUCAAAGUAAAUCUUGGUUACAGAACUAACACAAAAAAUAACACAGUAUACAGUAAGUUUCGUCUUUCACAUUUAAAAAAUAAUAAUAAUAGCAUGUUUGUUUGCAUGCUACCAUGAUCAAAACACAAAAAUGAAGUGAAAGUAUGCAAAGGUUUUCCACCUGAUACAAAUUUCUCCUACGAAUGUGCAGAAUCAGAUGUCUAGAUUCUCAGAGUUCUUCAUCUGGUGCUGUCUCGAUGGUUUUGGUUAUUGUGUCAUCUAGCUAGAUUCAAAAAAAGAAUAGAAUGCAAAGCAUGUUAUACAUUUGGACUCCAAAUUUUUAGCAACUUAAAAGAAUGCUAAGCAUGUUGUCCAACCUUCCAGUACUCACAAGGAUCCUGAGUAAAAAUGAAAUCAGACCUCACCACUUAAGAUAAGACGCCUACACAACUAAUUACAAAAACGAAAAAGAUGAGAAAAAAUAACAAUGUAAAAAAACACUAAAAGAACUAAACAUGUACUUCGCAAGUAAAUGAAAUAGAUGAUACUAACAGUCUUUAGCACGAUAGCAGAUCUCAUCACCCAAAACUCGCAUAGUCUCCAUGAACCUGCAGGUGGCGUAGCAUGUAUAUUAAGUUUCACUUACUUAUCCACAUCAAUUACAUUCUGACCAUUUGCAACAAUAUCAUAUAAGAAUUGCUUCUCCUUUGCACUCUUCAAAGUAAGCACAAAAUAGUGUAUGUGUUAGAUAAAGCAAAGAAACAAAGAAUGUCUGUACUUCAUAUUGGAGCAAAAUAUAAAAAAUCCAGUGAUCAACAUGUGCCUACACUUAAAAUAUAAAAAAACCAAUGAUCAACCAAAAUUAAACUAUUCAUCAAAAUGAUUGCAAUUAACUGAGUUAAAACAUGAUUUUUUUUUCUUUUCUUGCAAAUAUCUAAAGUUUUUUAUACCUUCCCAAAUGGUGAAACAAGCUGGUGAAGUGCUGUAAUUCUGUCUCCUAAUUUUUCUUUCCUCACCUGCCAUAUAACAUAUAUAUAUGUAUAUAUAUACAAGUCAGAAAAAAAAAAGUAGGUGAUUAAUUUACUAUUUUACUUUCACUUAAACUAUAUUCUCUUUUUCAUACAUUAAUCUGUAAAACGAAGACUCCCCCAAAUUACUUCAGAUGUCUCUCUUAAAUUCUAUUUAAAAAAAUUAAAAAUCUAUAAAAAAAAUCAAUUACUAUAAAAAAAGAAGAGAUAAGUGUGAAUUAAAAAUAUAAUCCCAAAUACUGAUUCGAAUCAGCUGAUUUUUAACCUGAGAACAGCUGAUUUUUUCUCUUCCAGCAACCUGCACAACUCGACCUUUAACCCUACAACUUGCAUGUGAAUGUUUAUAAUAAAUUAAAGAGUAAAACAUCACAAAAGAGGCCAACAAAAUUUUCAUGCAUGAACUUAAGGCAAGCAAAUAUACAUUUUGAGUAAGAAGUGGCCUAUUAUCUAUUCAACUUGCCAAACAUUAGUUUGGCCUGUAAUGAAAUAUUGUAUUCAUCAAAAGGAAAAAUUAUAUACUACCUGCUGUUGAAGAUCUGGAACAAAAUCCGACUAAGCAUCUCUUGUCAGACAGAGAAGAUUUUCAUCCGCAUUCAUUGAUUCGGACUUGGAACGUGAAAGAUCUCCAUUAGUUUUUGAAUCAACCAACUCUACUGUCUUAUUUGUUGAAGAUCUGCACUAUUUGUUGUUCAUGCUAUAUAAUUUACUUGCUCGACCAAAUUAAAGAAUAUUUAUAAAUAACAAAUUUGAAAUUUUACCAAAUAGUAUCUAAAAGUUAUAAAGCAAAAUUCUAUUUUGUCAAUAACCCAAAACCUAAAUAGAAAAAGCAAAAAGCAAAUCAAAGUGAAUUAUUAUGAAUAAUCUAAUAAUAUUAAAUAAAUUUAAAAUUUGAAUAUUAAAGUUUAAGAAAAUGGUUGAGAUGAAAAAAAAAUGAAGGUUGAGUAGAAACUUGAAAUUUUAUACAAAAGUAAUGUUUUAUUGAAAAUUCAAGUAAUCUAAAUUCUACAAUGCUUCUACUCUUAACUGUUUUGACACUAUUUUUUUUUAUAUUAGUAUACCUUUAUAUGUAUUUUUAUAGUGUUGGAAAAUUAAUAUAUUAUUUCCAAAAUUUCAACUUAAAUUUUAAUAUGUUUUAUUGUUGCACACUGUCUCCAAAUAACUUUUAAUUUACCCUGAUUUUAAAUAAUAAUAAAAAAACAAAACUGAAAAUAUAAAACCUGCCUUUUACAACAAACAUCCCAAAAAGAAGGACAACAAAGAAAAAAGACAAUUUAGAAAAAUAUUAGUUUUCUUACUCCAAUUUUAUAAACUAUAUUUCAUAAAUCCACAGUGCUAAAAAAGAUUUUAUAUUUUAAAAAAUAAAUGAUUUAUAAAUAAAAUUAUUAAAAACACGAAUAUAUUUUAAGAUGUGGUUUUAUCAAACUAAAGUAGAACAGAUUCGUUUUAUGUUAACUUUUCCUAAUAAAAACAAUAAAUUGUCUCUUUUCGGAAAAGAGGAAAAAAUGACCUUUUAUUCAGAUAAUUAUUCUUUAAAACAUAAAUUAUUGAGAUAAAUCAACAUUUAAUCCCUGAAUUUGAUAAAAAAAUUCAAAUUAGUCUUAAUCUUUUUUUUAAUCCACAUUAACUUUUAAAUUUCACAAGUAAUUGCCAUGCACAAACAUGGUACAGUCACUGCUAGGAUACACAUCAACCAUGGUAAAGCAAGCUUCCAUCAUUACUAUUUAUAUCAAGUAGAACGAACUUACAAUUGCCUGGUGCAGAUCAUUUUUGCUACUUUGGUCAGAAAUGUGCAGUUGCCCAAACACCUUUUUCCAUUGUGCAUUGGCUCAGACUUUAUGGAAAGUGAUAAAUAGUAAGCAUUUGAUCUGUUAAAGAAUCUUGCAGACUGCAAAUACCACAUCAGAAAAUUGCUAGUUGAAAUAUAAACAAGGGAGAUCCAUGAGUUACAAAGAGAACAAUAGGAUGGCCUUUUUAGACUCUAAAAGGGUGAUGUUAAGAACUUAAACAGAUUCCAUCACCUUUUACAAACUAUGAUUCGCCAUUCAUAUUUCUCUACUUCCAUGAUUUCCAACUAGGAAUUACUAGCAAUAAAUAUUGUUACCUACAUCAACAAAGCUGGAACUGUUUCAUGAUUCAUUUGCUCCCUAAAUAGACUAGAGUCAGAGUCAGUCCAACUGCUAUGUCUCAUACACCAUCCUGCAUGAGUUAUAAUCUGAUGAAGUGACCUAUACACCAUCCUGCAUGAGUUAUAAGCAGCAUACUGAAAUUAAUACAAUUGACCACUUCCAACUAAAAUAUAACAUUCUAAUAGAAAUUUGUAGUCUAAAAUUAUUACACAAAGCAUAGACAACAGCAGAAUUCUCGGUAUACCUCAUUUAAGUCUUCCAUUUGAAGUACUUUUUGUACAUCAACAGUAUAUAGAUUGUCUACUUCAGCGGAUUCUCCAAACCUCUCCUUCCAUACUGAAUCAAACCGCUGAUGAAGAAACAUUCAAUUUAAAAUUCAUAUAAAAUUGAUUUAUCAGACCCUAAUCUAACAGCAGAGAGAUGAAAAAUGAGCAAUCAUAUAACUGCUUAGCACAUUGUAUGAAUAAACACAAACCCUCUAACCUUAGAUCCCUACUUCUGAGAUACAUGCGAAGAAGGCAAUGUUCAAUUUAAAUCCCAAAUCAGACGGUUUAGGUUCAGAGAAAAUUGAAGAUAGACAAGAGAGGAAGGGGUGGACGCUUUAACCGUUUACGGAAUACGGAUGUAAACAUAAACUGCUGCCCGACAACCACCAUCUUCAAUGCUAAAAAUCGCUAAACAUUUACCUCUAAAAUUUAUCAUUCUAUCCGGGAUUCAUAGGCAAAACACCAACAAUAUUUGGAACUUGCGCAAUACCAAAAAUGAGAAAAAAGGAAAACUUGAGGAUAAUUUGAAGGAGGGUUUGGGUUUUGCUUGAAGGAAUUUGGGUUUUGGAGGGAAGGGUGGAAGGGGAAAGUGUGUCGACAAGGAUGCAGAGGGCUGCCGAUUUGGGGAAAUUAGGGGGCGAAAUAAAGGGAAUCGGGGUAGGGGAGAAAUGGCUUGGGAAAAAUAAAAUAGGGGAAAAAGAAGAAGAGAUUUCUAGGGAUGGGGGGAAUCGAUUUUGGGAAAAAGAAGGGGAAAAAGAAGAAUAUUUCAUUUGAAAUUUUGGGCUAAAAAAAUAUAUAAACACAAAA
rnacentral:lncRNA from 1 species